rnacentral:lncRNA from 1 species
CAAGCACAAGUAAAUAUUUCAACAGGUAUUGUCGUCGACACACACAAUUCAUGGCAUAGUCAUCUCAAGAUCCAUGAUCAGUAAAUUAUCCAAACUCUAGUAGACACUAACCCAGCUUGUACAGCAAAACAAUGCACGAAUGAAAUGUACUACUAAACCACGAUAACUGGCAAGAUGCCCAGAAAACGAUGACAGUGCUUCCUCAAAACCAAAAACAUAAACAAAAAAAGAUAACAAAUAAUACCUGAACAUGCUCCUGAUCAUUGCCAUUGGGUCUUCCUCAUCUUCAAAAUCAUCAUCAAAUCUUCUUUUCGCCAAUUGUUUUUUCUUUGCGCGAUCAUCACGUAUUCCAUUGGCAGAUGCUUGUCGAGAUGGCUACAGGCACAAACACAAACACGAUGAAGAAACAAACUUAGCGGAAUAAUAUUAUCCCAAAUUAUCGCACCGAAUGGCAUAACACGAAAGUAAAUAAAUGACAGAUUAUCGCAUCAGAGCUUCAUUUUACAACUAAAGGCUUCACAGAAAUAUUACCAUGGGUUUUGACGAAGGCCUCGCCUGCCUUUCUACUUGCUUUACUCUAUCAUUUGCUUGAACUCUUCUUUGCUCAGGAUAAUGACCUUGAGAGGAAAGAGGCCUUUGCCGUUGCAGAAGCUCUGGUCUGUAGCUUUGUGACUGUGGUCUUUGGCUCUGUGAGGAUUGCAAUUGUGAAGAUUGUUGUGGUCUCUGUCUCUGCAACGAUUGCUGCGGCCUCUGACUCUGUGGCAACUGUUGUGGUCUGUCAGGCCGCGAUGACUGCAGUGGCCUCUGGCUAUGGGAUGACUGUUGUGGCCUCUGGCUUUGUGAUGACUGCUGUGGUCUCUGGCUCUGUGACGACUGCUGUGGUCUCUGGCCAUAAGAGCCUAACUGGAGCCUCUGACUUUGUGACGGUUGUGGUCGCUCAUUUGGUGAUAAAAGGUGUUUUGAAGCUAAGUGAUUCUUCCUCAGAGAUUGUUCGUUUACAUCCUUCAAAGCAGGCUUACUUGUAGUAGGACCCUUGCUCAGAAACUUCUGACCUGCAGCUUUGCUUGUCGACAAGCUGGACCCAUUUCUAACAGCACCAUGCAUCCUUCCAUUGUCAAGUGAUGAAGCCCUUUCUCUAUUUGGAAAAGCUUCCUUUCUCUUGCUUUCAGCAUGUCUUAGAGCGGAGGAUGUGCUGUUCAACCCGUUUCUGUUUGGUAAUCUGGCAGGAUGACUUGUUGGUGCUCUGCCCUUCACAGCUGAAUGCAUCAACUGGCGAUCUUCAGCAAUGAAAAACUAACAAUCAGCACUCUCCACUAAACAGAAAAGACAAAGUUCCAUGAAAUAGAAAUUCAAACUCACCAGACUUUUGAGUCAAGGCAGACCUAGCGGCAGGUGUUGCCUUUGGAGAUGGAAUGUCAGCAUCAUCUGAGAGUAGAAACGAAUAGUCCCGAUUAUCCUUAAGUGCCUCGGCCUUCUUUUUUGCCUGUGAAUUGUAGCUGCUAUUUUGUGACUACAGUGACCAAAAUUUACUAUAGAAAACAAAUGAAAAAUGCAGCAAAGAUAUAUCCUUUGUACCUCAUUAAUAAAAUUCUGUUUCUGGUGAAAUCCAUUUGUUUUAGCUUGCACUUUUGAAGAUGAUGAUGGGAUGUCCUUCUACAUACAUGUAUUGACUAGAAUCAGUAAGUAUUGGAUCAGACCAAGAAUAAUCAGGAUCGGUGUAGUGCCACAUACUCCGGGAGGUCUUCGCUCUCUGGGCACUGUGUUCUGUAGCUCUUUCAUUGACUUCCUUUCUUCAAUCACUCGCUUUGAUAUCACUGGCUUGGAUGGCCCAAAGAAGGAGCCAAAACUAGACAAGUGACAUACAUAAUGAAGGAGAGCACACCCAUCUCAGUAAAUACCACAGCAGCACCAAAUAAAGUAAAAGAAAUGAAUGGGUAGUAGAGAAAAAAAAGUAGGACGAAAGAAAGCAGCAUGGAGUGUAAAAACGAACACUAGUGCAUUAGAAGAAAACACCCUUAUAGUGUUGGAAGAUUUGUGCACAUGGAACAUACGGAAAACCGUUCCCUAUUUUCCUGCAACCACAGUAAAAUCUAUUCCCCAUAACGACACUAAAAUCAGUAUUGCAAGUGGACAACAAUAUUUCAAGAAAGGAUAUCAUGCCAAUGUGUUGACUAUGAUAACGUUCCCAGUUUCAAAGCAAAAUUGCCAAAAAAACUUAAUAUAUUUCCUCCGUACACACUUAAAAAUCUCACUUUAACACGCUAAAGAUUCUGAUAGAAUGUAAGGAAUCAUUCUAAGACUACCUUAUUCUCACGACUGUACAAGUUCCUGGAGCACAAUCAAACAAAAUGCUCAACAAAGUGUAGAAGAGGCGCAUUGAAAUUCAAGACACUUACUUGGCUGGAGGUCUUCUAUCAUGCGAGAAAGAUGAGCGGCCAGCUGUGCUGGCACCAGCUCCCUGUGCCCGUCGCCUAAUCUGCUCCUUUAAUCGUUCCCUAACCUGAAGGAACUCCUGCUGACCCUCUGGUGGCCCUUCCUCCUCCUCGACCGCUCCUGAACCUUCCUCAUACUCAUCUUCAUCAUAGUAUUCGUCUUCAUACUCAUCCUCCAUUCCCCAACGAUAACCCUUUACAAUGAUGGCAGAAAGAAAAGGCACUGUCAAACAUGAAAGAAGUAAGCCCAUUUUACACCCCUGAACUUAUCAAGAAGUCCAAAAACACCCUGGACUUUAAAACCGGGCAAGAUGCCCCCACUGAACUUUUGAAAACCAUUCAUCCCGACCCCUCCCCCCUGGCAGUUUUGUACCUGGUUUUCAGUGGCGUUGAUUAAUUAGCUAAUUAAUUAUUAAACAGUACAUAAGAGUAAUUACUUAUCUAAGAACAAACAAAGCUAUCCAAUUGGUCAAAACAGUACAUGAACAAACAAAGAAACAAAAAACUCAGACCAAGAAGACAAAAUCAAGAUGAUCAUGCAAAAAAUUAGACAAAUACAUGCAUGCAUCCAGGACCCAAAUUAAGUAGUAGCAGUACUGCACUCAGCUAGAAGAGGCAGAAGAUCUUGCUGUUGUUGCUACCACAACUUGCUGAUACUCUAAGAUAAAAUCAGUAACAAAUUAGUAUACAGGUGACAGUGGCACAUAAUUUUAACUUGCUACACGGAAGAUGAAAUAGUAACAAAUUAAUACUCUAAGAUGAAGGAAUAAAUUAGCCGCAAACAAGCCACUACUGUCUUACUUGAGAUACGGCAGAGCAAAUCAUCACCAAGUUUCAGAAUAAAAUCACUAGACAUAAUUUCUAGCAAUGCUGCUAAUUUCAGAAUAAGACAGAUAGCACAACAGUUCUUACAAAGCAAAUUUCUCAAUAGAUCCAACCAAUACAAGAUUCAUGUCCUGUAAACAGAAGGAGAACAACUGCGCACACCAUAACACAUCAUCGAAGCUAAACUGAAUGAAACCCAUGGUACAACACAAAUAAACUUCUGCACUGUCCAAAACAAGACAAUCCAAAAUCGGCACAUCGAUUAUAAGUUUGGCACUACUACAAAUAUCAACACUAGUUAUCACCAAGAUGUUACUGCUACCGUGAGCAUACAGUGACUGCAUGUACAAAAGAAGGUAUAUUCUAACUAAGCAUAGCAGUGGGGAGCAUAUAGCAUUUCCAGCCAAGAACAUCAAGAAACAGAGAAGGGAGGAAGAAUAAAACCGGAUCGAAAUGCUUACCUUGCAAGAAGUCGAACUGAAGAGACAGUGGAGGAUGCCGUAGAUAGCCAAGAAAUAAGCAGAUCCGUCCCUUCCUCUGCAUAGCAGAUACAUAACGGACCAAAAAAACAGAUCAAGAAAGGCCAAGAAAACAGAUCAAGAACAGAAACGGACCAAGAAUGGAGAUGAGGAGCUUACCCCGCGUCGUGAGGUCGCCUUGCGUCGUCGCCGGCCGCCUUGGGUCACCGCCGCCGCCGGUGGCCUUCGACAGACGAGAGGAGAGAGCGGGCGGCUAGGGUUCGGGGUCGGGAGGAGAGAGCGGCGCGAGUGGGGAAAUAUGGCUAGGGUUCGGAAGAGCGGCGAGCAGAGACGUACCGCGCUUCGCUGCGGCGUUCGGUAUGGGUGGGGAGGCUGGUGGCCAGCGAAGGGAUGGAAAAGGAGGGGGCGGCAGGCGGCAGCCGGCAGCCACCGGAGAGAUGAGGGAGGGGCGGCGCCGGCGCUGACCUAACGCUGGGAGCGAGCGAAUGCAAGGGGGAGGGAGGGGAUCGGGGUUGGCUGAGGUCGGGACUCGGGGUCAGGGGCGAGAUUCUGGUUCUUUUUUUUUUUUUCGGGAUGGAGGUCCCUCGGAGAGCCGCCAAAGCCCUCAAUCCCACGGCUCCGCACGCAUAGGUGCCAACGGGCCGGCCUGGGCUCGUUAAGGCUCGGCUGGAACUGAGAAAAGGCCAUGUAGCAUAAGGCCCAACUAGGGAAAAAAAUUAAAAAAGAGGUGAAAACGCCAAAAUUGGAAAGACAAUGGGCCAAACUGUUGGGCUAGACCAGAUUUUUGGGAUUUAGUGACACAAAUAUUGGAAAAGAAAAAAAGAAAAAAAAAUCGGGCCGGCCCAGGUGCCUGAGGUUGAGGCCCAGGCUCGGCACAGGCUGUGAUUAAUUCCGUGACGGGCCAGGCGCAGUCAGGCUAAGCCCUCUGGGCUUUCGGGCCUUGCCACAAAGCACGGCCUGUUGGCCUCCUAUACUUCGCGGGGGAGUGCCUACUCCGUUUUUUUCAGUUCCUUCCGCACGCGCGAGGCUUUUUCCUCAUCCCAUCGCCCUCUUGCUGACACUCGCUCCCCUCCCGUCUACCCGUCGGCGGCCCAUCCCGCCGCCUCUCCCCAUGCGUCCUCCCGCUGCUCCUCUCACAUCCCGACGCCGCUGCCACCCGCCUUGGCCCCGGGAUCCAGAGGUGUCGCAGCGCCGCCCCGUCGCCGGCCGUACGGACGUAGCCUCAUGAGCAGUGCGAAAAGUACGGAGUACAUACCAACCAAAUGCAAUGCAUGCAUGGCGCCGGCCCUGCGUACGUACACCUGGCCGGCCGUAGGAACGUAUAGCCUCGUGCGUUAAUUGCAUUCAUGCACCGACCCACGUCUAUACAAAUCAACCACGCCAGACACACGUGCGGCAUGGCGGCCAGAUCAACCACGCCAGACACACGUGCGGCAUGCACCGGCCGCUGGCCGCCAUGCCUGCAUGCAUGCAUACGUGGUGUGCCUGCCAACCAGGCCAGCUGGGGUGCCAGCGCGCGCGUGAAGGCUGGACCUUUGUUCGAGCUAGACUCCGGUAUUUGGUGGAUCCGGCCGGCGCCGCGCGCGGACCGCCUUGGUGUCGACCCGAUCGAUCGAGCCCAUGCAUGCAGAGAUCGACUACGUUGUGUUCGUGUACGUAACCCCCACAAUGAAGCUAGCUGGUGCUGGCUACGUACUGGCUAGCUAGCUAUAGAUCUCGAUCGCUUUGGCACAUCGUCACAUCGACAACACAUGGCAUGCACGGUCACGGAGGAGCCAACGUAACUCUCUCUGCUCGACCGAGAGGCGUGUGCGUGAGUGCACGUCUGACCGUUUAAACCCAUCAUGCAUGCAACCCCACACUUGGCUCGCGUACGUACGUACGUUACGUGAUCAACCCCAUCCCCGUGCCCGUGCGUGCAUGGGGUGCAUGGAUUACGUGCAUUCUGUCUCGAACAAACAAAGGAAUAAUUUUCAAAACAUUUUGCAUGCAUGCGCCGGCAUAUACACAUGGUACGUACGUAUAUAUACACGCGAGCCGGCCGUACGUGCAGUGGGGUGUGCGACAUACAUGCAUGCAUGGUUGCAUGCCCGGGGGGUCGACAGCGAGCGGGCGCCGGACCUCUGUUCGAGUUUGACUCCGGUAUUUGGCGUGGAUCCACGUUUCCAGCCAAUAAUGCGAAGGCCGCCGGUAUAUUCGACGUACGGAUGCGGGUACGUGUCGACCGCUUCGUUUCCGGGCCCCUCCUCCGCCUUCGAUCGGUUGGCGCAUCGUCCCAUUGACACCACACGGCACAAUCAAGAUCCGCGCGCGUCUUCUGGUUCAUCUGAGACCUUCGUUUAAUCCCAUGCAUGCAGGAUAUCGUGAGUAUCCAAUUAGCUAGCUAGAUUAAUUUGCCCUGCACAAGUUAAGGCAUUUUCAUCAACCAAUAGGAGUAGAUGUUUUUUUUCUGUCUAGCUAGCAUGCAAUAGCCUAGCACUACUACAGAAAGAUUUAUCAGUAACGGUCGAAAAACAUCAUCAGUAACGGUCGGGGCCGCCGUUACUAACUUCGUGUUACUGAUGAUACCCAUCAGUAACGGUCGCCACGACCGUUACUGAUGUAUAUAUACAUCAGUGGCGGUCGCUCCUGCCCAACCGUUACUGAUGUAUAUAUAUCAUCAGUAACGGUCGCGUUUUCACAACAGUGUCGGUCGAGCGACCAACACUGAUACAUUUUCGGUAUUUAAAAAAAUAAUUAAAACCACAGAAAAUACACAGAAUAAUAUAUAUACAGCACAGAAAAAUGUAUCUCAUCACAGAAAAAUACAUAUAAAGCCGCAUCACAUCACAACACAUCACAUCACAUCAUUUAAAGCAUACAAUGUAUAUAAGCCGCAUCAUUUAAAGCAUAUAAAGAUUACAAAUGUAUCUCACUUCACGACAUUGAUUACAAAGUUUCAAAAUUUCAUAAAAGCAUAAUUACAAAGUGUCAAAAUUUCAUGAAAGCAUAUAAAGAAUACAAAUGUAUCUCAUUUCAAGCUUGAAUCUCUUGUCGUGGGUGAACCCAAGACACGACUUGUUCCACACGUUCGAAGAAGUCUCCACUAGGCUUGAUGACCUCAUUGUUUAUGAGAUGGACGAACUCCCUUUGAAUGUUAUAGACGACCCAUUUAGGUCGGUGUCACAUUGUCAUUCGGGGCCGUCAGUACUCUUACAUCGCCGCGACUGACCCCUUCCACUCUGGCUUGAACAUGCUGGCAUUCUUCAUAAGGACGUGACAGCCGUAGUAGCCAUAGAACACACUGUCGGGCGGCUGUUGCUGGCAAAGGAACCUGUGGUUGUGGUGAGACUCGUCUUUAUAACCUUUACCAGCUAGUUUUUCCUUGGUCACCAUUUUCCAGGCAGUGUUAAUGAGUGAUUUGAUGGGUUUUCAGAACCUACCUCGAACACACUUCUUCGGAAGUAGUGAAUCGAAGUAGUACACCGCGGACCAAGGCAAACAAAUGAGUAGUGUCACCCAAUGGUCUCUGUUUUCAAAAGAAACAAAUUUUACAUCUAAGAGUGUAUAAGAAAGACUGAAUUAGAAAAAACAAACGGUUCCAUAUAUAAAAUUGAACUUACUCCAAAUUAAGAGGUUGAUAUCAAACUUUUGGCGGUGUAAGAGGUGGAACAGUUCGUUGAACUCCACACCAAAGGUGAUAAGACGUUCCUGAAUCUUCCCGGUUUCUUGGUCAAAGAAGCCAUAGUCUUUUGGGAUUCUAACAUUGAUCUGUUGGGCAUGCCGUUGAGAACCAGCUGAUUCUUGCAUGUAGAACUGAUGAAGCUAUUGCAUCUCUCUGGACACGGCACGCAGGGAAUCUUCGGUGACCAUCGGUCUUCCAGGAUAGUAAAGAAGCACCCGGUCGAACUCCCUAGCCACGAAAUAGGAUCCGUCUUCGAAUCUCUGGCCUUAAUUUGGGUUCUUGAUGAGAAUGUCAGGCCUAUUGUCCUCCCAGACUCCAGUUAUGUCUGGCACGUGGUGCAUCUCAUCUUAAGUGACAUUGGAGAACUCCUUGAUGGUCUUGCCGCCGCACCCCCUCUUUUUAUGCCUCCUCUUACUGUCCCAUGCCUUCUGCUCCUCUGCCUUGUACUUGCCAUCGAUCUUGCGGCCAUCCAUGGACUCAGCGGCACCCAAGAGAGAGAAGGUGGUAGGGACGCUUCCAUCCUGUGCUGACCCUGUGGUCUCGCUAUCUUUGAGCUGUGCAGGCAUCGACAUUGCCCGCUCUUCAUCUCCGCCGGCAUCGACGGGAGGAAGUAUCCUAGGGGAAAGGCCGAGCGGCGAAUGAGAAGUACCUUUGUGGACGGAGGGAGAUGGAGUCAUAGAGGGCCGGCGCUGGUUGUAGAGAGAUACCAAGGUCCUAGGCCACAUAAUGCGGUAGUUUGGACAAUCGCCUAGGAUAUCCACACCUUCCUUUGGAGGUAGCGGGAUAGUAUAAUCCCAAUGCUCCUCAACGACGGAGUCCACCAUCACACUCACUUGUGCGUCGUUCAUGAGAAUGCCGUGCACCAGUGGCGGUGAUUGUCUGGGCAUCAGACGGCCAAUGACGCCUACAGGCUUCCUAGGCUUGUCAACGUGGAUACGACACUUCACCGGUGCCUGCGCGUAACAAGAAGAAGGCAUAUGUGUGUAAGAUCUUUAUUCAUGAAGGUUAGGAGUGAAAAAGAGUUUGAAAAGAUUGCUUACAAGGAUGUUGUCGCUCAGACCCGGAUCGUUAUCCCGGAUGCCCUCGCUUGGGGAAGGUUGGCUAGCGGGGGGGUUGUCCAUGCUACGAGCCGGGCUGUAACCAGGGGUGUAGGUGUCUUCGUCCUCCAUACGUUUGUCGGAGGCGGCGCUGCUCUUCAGCGGGGUGCUCUUUCGCGGGGGAAGAGGAGGAAGAGGAGGAAGGAGGUUCCUCAAACCUUCCACUCCUCCCCCGAUUAUGGCGUCAAGGGCGGGGUGGUCUUUGGCCAAUGCCGACACCAAAUGAUGGACGGCUUGCACUGCAUAUUCCCGCGACACCUCUUGAGACACGAUAGAUGCCUGCUCUCGCGCCUCCGCCUUAGCUUGUUCUAUUAUCUCAGAAGAAGCGGGGAGCUUUUUCUGGACCCUGCUUCGCUUCGGAGUAGGCGGGAAAUAAUCAUCCCAGCAGGCCCCUUCGCCUUCUCCUAGAACACGGCCCGUGUACUCCGCCUUUUGCAAGCCGGCAGUCACAGCCGACUCCCACCUCUUGCUCUGCACGGAGUUGUCGGAGGUUUCUGACAUCUUGCUCUCCUCCCAUUUGUGGGCAUUUGCCUGUUAUCAUAUAAGACAGGACGUGAGUCUAUAUGGAUCAGGAGUGUCAUAAUUAAAGCCGAAAACAACUAAAUGCACAUGAACCCUUACCGUAAAAAUUUGAACAGGCGGCUGCAUUGGCUCAAUGCCCGCCCACUCCUCGGGUGUCAUGUGCGGACGUGCAUAUUCUCUAGCACGUUGGUCCUCCAACAUGUCAUGCACUGGAGGCACCCUGCCUGCCGCCUCGAGAAUUCAGUACUGUUUGCGCCAGACCUUCUUCUUCCCCUCUUUCCCAGCACUCCCUAGCCUGUGGUUCAAGGGCUUCCUUGCGCGCAACGCUCUCAUGCGUUCACUCUUCGCAAUGAAGGCAGGGUCAUAUGAUUCCUUCUUGAAUUUUUCCCAUUCGGCCUCAUCAGUUACCGACGGCCAUUUCUUCUUGAUGAUCUCGUAGGGUUUGUCCAUCCACUUUCUAGCGGUGGUUUUCCAAUUAGCAAGUCCAUUGCGGACUGCUAUGUUGACGGCCGUUAAAAAUCGCUCGCGCCACUCGUCAGUGACUUGUAACCUCCUUGCAACGUCCGCGAUGCACGUGUUUCUAACGACUUCGGAGAUGUCACUCCACUCGUCGGUGAUCUUGCAAUACUUACGUGCAACGGCUCCACAGGUCGUUGCGAAGGCCUUUUGUGCCCUCUCAGGCGACUCCGGGCAGCCCCUCUUAGAGUGCCGGGUGACCACGUGACAGAACUCCUUCAAGUUGUUGUUGGGGAACGCGGUAUGCUACGCUAGCACAAAAUAAAAUUUUCUACCGCUUCCGCCCGGAUCAAUGCUGUAGAUAAUGGAUCACGAGAUUACCACUAGACGCGCAGACCCGUAGCGGAAGUAGAGUCGAUGUAGCGCGUCGAUGCCGAGUAGUCGAACAGCCUGCUCCUCCUCGCCGAUCCCACGAACAGUUCGUCCAAGCGCCGCAGGUGCAGCGCCUCCGAGGUAUCCACACGUACAGGGAGGAACUCCGUGCGGCGGACUGCUAGAUCCGAUCGCAAGGCUUUGGGCGUGGAGGUGCGACGGCCGAGUCUAACUCGCGUCUGAACUGGGGUUCACCCUAGACGGGUUGGUCUCCUCCACUUAUAUAGACGUCCCUAGUGGGCUCAACACUUGAGGCCCAUUAGGAGUCCAAGCCCGAUACGAGUUGGAUCCGAUCCAACUCGGUUCCUACCCCUUAAGCGUGUGACCCUUCAGGUUCGCGGUCAGUCGGCCACGACUACAAGCUCGGACCGCGGGCCCGAGUAACACCUUACUCGUCCACUGGCACCGACUCAAGUCGAUAGUUGGUAGCGGCGCCUAGCAGCACGUGCCAACUCCCGAGUAACCACAAGGUAUAUUGACGAACCAUACAAUGUGUCAUAUGCAACAUUCCUUUUGCCUCGCGAUAUGUGUGUCGAGCUCAAGGCGAGUGCGUGUCAUCCUUGUGGAUAGCUCGAGUCUCUUCUCGUUCCUGUGAUACAGAUUCCCGAACGGGUUAACACUUAACCCAAGUCACAUGGCCAUGCUUUCCGAAUCUGAUCACUCGAGAGGGCCCAGAGAUAUCUCUCCGAACAGGAGGGGCAAAUCCCAUCUUGAUCAACCAUGACUCGCAGCAUGCUUCUCAGCAAACCCGAAAACUACCUUUAUAACCACCCAGUUACGGAGUAGCGUUUGGCAACCCCUAAGUAGGCCGAUUCACAUCCCAAGCUCAUACGAUGACCUCAGGUCUAGGACUGGCAUAUACAUCGUACUUGAGACUAACAAAUGACAAUCAUCUCGUUGUGUCUCAGUGCGGGUCUGUCCGACUCAACAAUCUCAUUUUCGAGUCCAUGCUAUCAGUCGGCAACACCUUGCCCUAUGACUUGUGAAACAUAGUCAUCAUACUGAUUCACAUUGCUAGUCUAGAUUAUGUAUCCGCAUAACCUCAAUGACUAGGGACCAUUAGAACAACAUCAUAGAAUACAUAGUCUCACAAACAAAUCACGUAUUUAUUGAUACAUAUCAGUGAUGAUGUUCAAGGACAAUAACAAUAACUCAUGAAUACAUAGGAAAUAACAUCAUCACAUAAUUGCCUCUAGGGCAUAUCUCCAACAGUUGUGGCUCCCCCUCGGCGUCUUCUUCCUUUGCUUCUUACCGGGAGUUUCAGAACUGUCUUCCACCCGUCGCUCGUUGUCGCGCUCUUCUGAACGAGAGCUACCUGAGCCAGAGCUGGCAAUUUGCUCUCCCGAUGAAGACUCUUCAUUGACACGAUCUACCUCCUCCCGAUCAAGAACAGGUUUCUGGCUACUCUUGCCCAUUUCGAACUAUGCCAUCAAAACCAUCAAAUAUAUAUCGGCCGAAAAUUUCGGCAUGAUCUAUGCUAAAAAACUAGAAAUUUUUCUCUACUAAUAGCUCAAAACCUGCAUAAAAAACCCACCCGCAUAUGUACCCCCUCGGCACGAUGGCCGGCCCCUUCUCCAAUGACCCGACACGAUGGUCGGGCUCACAAUUCAUUACUCAAUUCUCCAAAAUAGCAUAUAAAACAUCAUGUAUAUAGCAUAUAAAAAACUACAAUGCAUAUACUCAUGUGUGCUAUAUAUUAUCAAAUGCAUAUAUUCAUGUGUGCUAUAUAUAAAAAAUUACAAUGGAAAUGUACUAACCCUAAAUUAACCCUACAAUAUACUAACCCUAUAUCAAAUUCACAAUAUGUGUGCCCAUCUAACUCAAUUAUCCACUACUACAAACUACAAUGCUAAUCCUAAAUUAACAUGCUUCUUUUCCUAAAUCCUAACUUUAAAUUAACAGCAACAAAUCCUAACCCUAAAUUAACUGGAACAAGUCCUAACCCUAACCCUAAAUGAAGCUAAAUCAGAGGAGAGGGAGGGAGGCAGAGGAGAAGGAGGCAGAGGAGGUAGAGAAGGCGUGCACCUGUCGCUCGGGGAGGACAGAGACGGCGCGGGCUCGGUGAGGAGGGAGACGGCGGCGCUCAGGGAGGAGGGAGAAGGCGGCGCGGGGUGGCAGCGGUCGGGGUGGCGACGGUCAGGGUCGACGGGCAAGGGGUCGAUGGCGAGGACGAGGCUCGGGCUCGGGGACGACGGUGCUCGACGCGGGGCAGCGGGCUCGGGGUCGACGGUGGCGGCGGCGAAAAAAUCCGGCAGCGCUUCGCUCUUCUAGGGUUAAUCGCCCACUGUUGGUCGCUCCUUGUGUUGAGGACGCGCGGGCGGAAUAACCCUAGAUUUCACUAAGUGUUCCUUUAUAUACCCCAUGCACAAGAGUAACGGGCGGAUAAGGGAGGCGACUGUUACUGAUGAUCCUUCGAUCAUCAGUAACGGUCGCGCUAGAAAGCACCCGCCACUGAUGUUCACCGAAGUGCAAUGCCCAUCUACUCAUCAGUAACGGGCGCGUAGAAGCCUGACCGUUACUGAUGAGUAUAGGCACUCAUCAGUAACGGACGCAUAGCAGCCUGGCCGUUACUGAUGAGUAUAGGACAUGGACUCCAUUUCUCUAGUAUUUGUACAUCAUGGAAUUCAUGUAUUUAAAGUUUGAUGAAUAAAUUCAUGCAUUUCUCUAGUAUUUUUGCUAAAUUAAAUUCAAAAAAUUCAUCACAUGCAUACACAAAAAUUCAUCACAUAAUUUCACUUAGUACAAAGUUUGCAUUAAUAUUCAGUACGAGUACAUUUUUACAAUGUGACUACUAGUGCUUCUUCUUCCUUCGGUAAGUCAUAACUUGACUCCUCGCAGAACUGCUUCUGAGGUAGGGUUUUGUGGUAUUUUCUCGCUCCCAUCACUUCUUCUUUUCCCUCUCCUUUUCCUCGUUAAUAUCGUGCGUUCCGCUUUUUCAUCAUCUGCGGCGAUCGUCGGAUCAUGGAAACCUUCGUAGUCUUCUUGUGAAGUAACUCCGUCCACUCCAACAAUGCUUCUUUUCCCUCUUCUUACUAUGACGCGGCCUUUAUUUGCCGGGUCAUCUAUGUAAAAACCUGCUUGAAUUGUUUAGCAAAGACCCAUGGUUCCUCUCUUGCCAGGAUUUUUCUCACGUCGACUUGUUCACGAGGGAUCUCAGGUGGUAGCACCAUCGUCGUGAACUUGUGACUUUCUUCUUUGCCACCUUUGGUCCAUCUUACACGGAACAUUGGGAUCUUUGUGAUCGAGUACUCCAAUUCCCAGAUCUCCUCGAUAACGCCGAAGAACGCUUUGGUUUUGCUGUUGUCGUCGGUCGCGGUCUCAGAAGUCAUGACUACACCACUAUUUUGAUACGUGCUUUUACGGUCCUGAGACACGGUGUAGAAGUUAUAGCCGUUGAUCGCAUAUGAUUGCCAAGUAGAGACGUGAUAAGUAGGUUCCCGUGUCAAGCAUGCAACCGUUUCUUCUGAUACAUUGGUCAUCUCCCUGCCGUACCAAUAAUUCUUCAGCCACCUUUCGAAUGUUUUAUUGUGCUCCCAAUGGAUCAAGACUUCUGCUCUUUUAAGGUUUUCAUUUUGCAGUUGUUCCAUGUGCAUUUUCUGAUAAGGCCGGCAGCAAUCGGCAGUUUGCAACACAACCAAAUGUGCUCUUUCAAAGUCAGCUUCCCUUCCUCUUCCAUAGACAUUAAGGUAUGUAUGUCCAAGGCCACCUUCGCCAUCGAGCUUGCCCUUGUGCCGUGAUUCGGGAACACCUAUUGAUUUCUGAUCGGCCAACCAAUCCGUGCAGAACUCGAUGCACUCUUCUGCCCUAAAGCUUUUCACGAUGCUACCUUCCGGACGCGAUCUGUUACGAACGUACCGCUUCUGAACCCUGUUGUAUCGUUCAGGGCCAUACAUGUUAUGCAGGAACGAGGGCCCUAGGGACAAGAUCUCAUCGCAUAUGUGGAUCACUAGAUGGACCAUGGUAUCGAAGAAUGAUGGAGGGAAGAACAUCUCGAGCUUGCACAGAAUCUGUAUCAUAAUAUCCUUCAAUAUUUGGCAUCGUCUAAUGGUGAUUGACUUCUGCGAUAUGCUGUCAAAAAAAUCAGAAAGCUUCAUGAUUGUCUCCCUUACGUGCGGCUCCAUGAUACCUCUGAUUGCGACUGGAAGUAACUGAGUGAGUAUGACAUGGUUGUCGUGAGACUUCAUGCCAGAUAGCUUGUGACUCUUCAUGUCAACUAGAUGCUUGAUGCUCGACGAGUAGUUCGAUGGGACUUUAACGCCCUCCAGACACUGGCACAUCUUAUUCAACUCGUCUUUGUACAGGUUGUAACAUGAAAGACGACACCGCGUGGUCACCGUCAAGAAACCAUUCUUGUCGGCUGCCGACACUUGAUCUUUGCCCCACAACUCUUUCCUGAUAGACAUGAGUUGUAGGUCCUUCCGUGCAUUGGGUCCAUCUUUCGUCUUCUCUGGAUUGUUCAUCAACAACCCCAGCACGUUGUCGCAUACAUUUUUCUCCACGUGCAUUACAUCUAUGCUGUGGCGGCAUUCCAAAUGUGCCUAGUACUCCAGGUCCCAGAAUACGGACCUCCUUUUACACACGACGCCUUCAGGUUCCUUAUAUUUCUUCGCAGAAAUCUUUCCGGGGACAACUUCAAGAUCGUUCACAAUUUCGAGGAUUUGCAUACCAGACUUCUCUUUCGGCGCUGUCCCGUGCUCCAUCUUCCCAUUGAACAUUUCCUUGUCAUCCCUCCAAGGGUCUUUAGCAUCCAACCACUUUCGGUGGCACAUGUAAACAAUUUUGGAUGAAGCGGGCAAGUUCUCCGAUGUCGUGUUUUCCCCGCACUUUGUACGGGCCUUGUAGCCAUGUGUCACCUGGCAUGAAGUAUUUCCAUUCGCGGGGUAGUCAUGCACGCAGGUCAGAAGUGCUGCUCUCAUCGUGAAGUACUCCCUCCUGUUUGCGUCCCAAACCACUCUGCCAGGGUUCCAAAACUGCUUCAGCUCAUCCUUCACUAGCUGCAGAUACACAUUUAGGUCAGCUCCCGGCUGCUUUGUACCCUGUAUGAGCAUGCACAUGUGGAUGUACUUUCUCUUCAUGAUUAACCAUGGAGGAAGGUUGUAAACAAACAAGAUCACUGGCGCUUGUUGUUCAUAAUUCCAAAAAGAUUUAUCCCGUCAGUGCUGAGACCGAGCCUCAGGUUUCUGGGCUCUGCCCCAAAAUCAGGAAAUGUCGUGUCGAAGUUCCUCCACUGAGUCCCAUCGGCAGGGUGUCUUAGGACCCCAGCUUCCUCCACACGGUAGUGCCCGUCAGGAUCGAAUGCAGCCUGCGCCGGAUCGUGAUAGACGAGAUACCUCGCGUCCUUAACGUUCUGCAUCCAACGCUCAACUUGGCCACCUGCCGUAAGAUACCAGACAGUCUUUGCCGGCCUGCCCUUCAUCACUUCUUCCCCAUCGUCUUCGCCAGCUCUGGCGUUUUUCUUCUUGUAUCUCGAUGCACCGCAUAUGUGGCAGCUCUCAUGGUUCUCGUACUCUCCAAUGUAUACCAUGCAGUCGUUUGGACAUGAUGAUGUUUCACACAAUCUAAUUCAAGCGGGCAUGUAAUCUUCUUCGCCUCCUAUGUGUUCUUGGGCAACUUGUUUGGUUGUGAAAAAACCGAAGCAAGGUAACUCAACAAGUUCGUGAAGCCCUUGUCUGCCAGCAUGAUGCUGCCUUCAGCCUCAAAAGUUCGAGCGUCACUUCGAGCACGUGGUUUUUUUUGCCAGCUCCAUCAUACAAGGGUGUAUUUGCGCCCUCCAACAAUUUUUUGAACUGAGCAGACUCUGCUUCAUCUUCGGGGUCCUCCAGCUGCUCCCGUAGGUACGGGUCAUCUAGCAUUUCGGUAAUCCUGUCUCGUGGAGCUCCUUCACCUUCCACAUUAGCCUCCUCAUCGACCCUUGUUUCUUCCUCGGAAUCAUUCGCCAGAUCAUACCGCAGGACAUCAUCAUCUUCGCUACCGCUACCGACAUCAACCACAUCCUCCCCGUGACAAGUCCGGCGAGAAUAAUCUUCCACAAAACCCGAUGCCAUCACGUGCAUCUGAACAUCUUCAGGCUUCAUCAUGCAUGUGUUUCCACAUUUGCGACAUGGACAAUGCAUCAUCAAAAGUCAUUUUUGUUCCAUAUCACCUUUCGCGACUCCAAAAAAGACCGUCCAUUCGGUUAUCCAUUGAGCAUUGAUUCUUUCCUUGGCGUACAUCCAAAAACGGUCUUUCGAUCUACAACACAAUACACAAGAAAACAAACAAAGCAAAAUAGUUGGCAUAAUCAUUGACAAGGGAAUUAAGGUGUUAAUUAACCGGAGCUAACUAAAAAUUUGAAAUUAGAGACAUUCGGAGAGAAAUUGGAGGCCGGCGAGAAAGAUCGAGAGGGAGAGAGAGCUCGCAAGCGACAGGAAAGCUCCGGGCGACGACGAGGAGGCUGCAUUUUGGCCGGCGGCCGCGGAGCUCAAAAAUUUGAAAUUGGGGAACUUCGGAGAGAAAUUGGAGGCCGGCGAGAGAGAUCGGGAGGGAGAGAUAGAUCGGGAGAGAGAUCGGGAGGGAGAGAUAGAUCGGGAGAGAGAGGGAAGCUUCGGGGUCGAGAAUCAGAGCUCGCUGGCCGUCGGAGCUCCAAAAAUGGAGAUCGGCAGCCAUGGCCGCCCGCCAGCCAUGGAGACGGCGCCGCCGACGCGAGGGGGAGAGAGGAGGAAGGGGGAGGGAGGAGGGGCUACCUGGGGGGCUCGCCGGCGGCCAUGGCGUCGUCGGGCAGCGCCUCGCUGUCGCCGGAAGUGAAGGAGCCACAGCUCGUCCGUUACGACGCGCAGCGCGACGAGCUGCGGCUCUGCCCAACGAAUUUAAAUCGCGACGCAUCAGUGGCGAUCGGGAAACGGGCGACCGUUACUGAUAAUCGUGGACACAUCAGUAACGGUCGCGUUGGGUCGACCGUUACUGAUGCGUGGUUCAUCAGUGGCGGUCCCCUUGCGCGACCGCCACUGAUGUACGGCUGGGCGGGGACGGGCAAAGCCCGUUGUGUUCAUCAGUAACGGUCGCGGCCGCGACCGACACUGAUGUUAUUCAUCAGUAACGGUCACGCCGGACCCGUUACUGAUGUGCCGUUGCAUAUAGACCAUUUUGUAGUAGUGUAGAUGUGACUAUGUCGCAGCUGACUCAAUCGCUUGAUUUUUAGUUUAAGCAAAAAACGCUUAAAUCUAAGUUGACACAUCAUGACAUCAAAGCCAUUGAAAUACGGUUUUGCUAUAUCUGAAUUGUCUGAUUUUUAGCUAGAGAUCAGAUGAUUCCUCAACCAUUGGAUAUGUUUUUACGCUUUAACAUUCAGAACGAACGAUGAAAGGAAAAGAGUGGGAUGGCUUCCAAAUAAUAAUUGAACGGUUGUGAUACAUCAACUGAGAUUUCACUAUUUUUCUUAAAAAUUGGGCAACUAAGAUAUAGCCACAUCCAUUGAAAUACGGUCUAUCCGCAGUUGUCCUAUCCUCCCUCUCCCACGUUCUGUCGUUGUAUUAAGAUGUGAUCGUCAAGCAAAUCGACUGUUCGCUGACUAAAAAAUGUACAAGUUUCUUAUACCAAAACCGGCAACGCUUAAUUCUAUCCGAACAACUUAAUUGUCUUUGCACAACUGCACUGGUAUGUUUCUCCUUCUAAUAAACGCGAAGAGACAACACCCGUACGUACGGAUGCAACAGCGACAUCGGUGGACCACGGCACGGACACACCUACACCAGGGAGUAGUUGUGUAUGGGCGCAAUACGUACGGACAGUUUUUGUACGGUAUUUGUAGCUUGCGCGCCACAGGUGAAUGUCACGUUCCCAGGUAGGAGACAUGCACGUCUAUGUAGCUUUUGGGCUGCAGCAACAUCCAUCUCCAUCUCUUUAUGACUUUAUCUACUCGCUCUGGCCACCUCUCUUCAAACGACUUAAAUUUGUCUAAAAAUAAACGUAUCUAUAUACUAAACGGUUUUGCUAUUGAUAAGUCGCGAUCAAUUGACAUGUGAGCCAUCGGAUCGUAAUCCAAUAUAUAAUACUUCCUCCGUUUCAUAACUCUUGUCUCAAAUUUGCCUAAAAAUGAAUGUAUCCAUUCCUAAAAAACGUUUAGUUACAUGUAAUAUUUUAACGACUUAGAAAUAGCCACACCAUAUAUACUAAAAUACUUCUAGAUACAUGUAAUAUUUAGGCACUUCACAUUGGACGGAGUAAGUAAUAAUUUUCAAGCGAAAAAUUAAUUGGGCCUAUUUCUAUAUUCACUCGUGUCAUCUCCAACAAGGUACUAGUUAGUACCAGUACUAAAAAAUUUCUCUCCUUUUUUCAAUGUGUUUCAAUUUUUUUCUUAUUUAUUUCUUUUUUUGAUAGACCCACGUGUCAUCUUCUUUGUUGUCUUGAUAUCCGUGUAGUACAUGUUAUUUUUCAAACGACCAUUAUUUGGUUGUGUCAUUCUUCUCUCAUUUACAUUGACCACUAAUUUUCUUGGUACCUGUGUAGUAUCUCUUGUGGGAUGCCUUUUGCAACCUUGGGUCAGCCAGCCAUGCGUGAUUCCAGCAAGGCCGAUACACGCACGGCCUACCAAGACAUGGAUUGGGAACCUACGAUGAGCUUUAGCCUUUAGCCCAUGCUAUAUGGAUAAUUGAUUUUGGUUCUCAUGGAUCGAGCAGCGGAGACUUAUUAACGCAAGGCUUUGCCAAAAAUCAAGCUCAUCGUUGAUAGUAUGAUCUUGUAGCCUGAACUAAAAUAAUGUAUUUGUAAAAUGAAAAAAAGGUCGUAAGGAAGAAUAAAAUGGUUUCCUAUGCUGCUAUGUGCUAUCGACGGAUGCGUCGUCUAAUCGUUGCUAUGGACCAUACAGAUGCGGCAUGACAUCUCGACAUCCAUCUGGAGUUAAAUUCCAGUCCUCUGUUAUAUAGUAAAAGCAAUAUGAAGAGUAUUGAGGAGAGGUUUCACGUUGAUUCACGUCACCUCAAUUAGUUUGACCGUUGGAUAGAAGAUCCGAGGAUCAUAAAUUGUUUGUCCAAACAUAUGUUACGUUGCUAAAUCCUCUAGAGUCCCACACGAUUUCCGUUAAAAAAAUAUGUCACAUUAAAACAUGUCACGUUAUCGCACUAAAUCCCGCCCCUCACGAUUUCCAUUAAAAACAAAGAACCGGACUCUUGGUUUUAUACGCGCUUUGCACGGACGGUACAGAAGAUCGAUUAACAGCAGAGCAAUUAAAACUUCCUUUCAAAAAAAAAAAUUAACACGUACGAUAAAUUCUCGGCAGAUCUAACACCAGUUCCCACCAGUCCAUAUCUUUCUAUGCGCGUUCAACAGCAGUAUCUGUCAAUCUAUUAUGUUAUCUAUUUUUAUCUAGGAAACCAUGCCGCGGCACGACGAUGCGCGCACGACGCCCAGCUGAGCAGCUCCUGUUGUGCUUGCAAUGCAGUCUUACGCAAGAAAAAAAAGAGAGGAUGCAUGCAUCUCUAGGUCCAGUGCAGCACCAUGCAGACGGCGUCGCGCACGGAGGCAAACUAGCUGAACUGCGAGCGUUAGUUCUGUUUUAUCUAUUCUAUCGUUACUCCUUCGAUUUGAGUGUCACUGAAUUUGUACAAAAUACUAAAUUAACAACACUUAUUAUGGAUCGGAAUAAGUAAAUAUAAAAAGCAAUAUGAGCAGCACCGAGGAGAGGCACCGCACUCAUCCACCUCAUCCUAAUUAUCUGGUCCGUUAGAACUGAUAUUCGAUGGUUAACAUUUAGGGAGUAGGAUAUAUCUAAUGGGUUGGACAAAACAUCAUUCAAGGCCCACAUAGGCCUAAUAUUCCAUAUAAGCCAAAAGUCUAUUUGUAUUGUGCCAAACGUAACAUACUACGUUCUACGACAAAUAUGUAUGAUAUCACAACUUUUUUUCAUUAUUUUUUGUAAUGGAUCGCGAGAAUAUUAAGUAGUAAACUAUUCAUUAUCUUUUAUCUAUAUUAUGAAAGCACGAGGAGGGCUAUGAGGGGAGGCACCAUGCUGAUCCACAUAAUCUAAAUUAUUUUAACCGUUAAAUCUCAUAUUUGAUGACUACGAUUUAAUUAGGUGGAUAUAUCUGAUGGGUCAAAGACUAAACAUCAAAGUGAUUUGAGACCAACAUAGGCCCAAUAUGCUAGAUAGGCCAAAUAGUUCUUUACAUGAUUCCAAACGCACAAAUGACCAAUCAGUUUGAUUUGCAUCAUCUGAAUUGUUUAAACCGUUAUAUAAUAAAGCACAGUAUAGGGCACUAGCGUUGAUCCACAUAAUCUGAAUUAUUGAAACUAUUAGAUCUUGAUUUGUAUGGUGUCAAAAACAAUAUGCAAAGACCGUUGCACGAUCAAUAUGUUAAGACCUCUCAACUUUAUUUCCCUUAUAUGUCUUCUGAAUCAUGAGAAUAUUAGGUAGUAAACCUAGCUCCAUUCAUCAUAAUCUAUAUUUAUGCAAGAGGAUUAAUUAUCAACGAGCGUUUAAAGAAUUAAAAAAACAUUUUUUAGGAUUACGAGAAUAUGAAGUAGUAACCUCCUCUCAAUCCGUCAUAAUCAAUAUUUAUGAAAGGAUUAUUUAUUAACAAGCAUUUAAAGAAUUAUAAUUGUACAUCCUAACACGUAAACAGAACAUAUUGCAUUAAUGAUUAAAAAAAGUUACGACCAUGGGCAGAUCCACCUUGGGGGCACCAUGGACACGUGCCCAGGUUUCUGGGUUGUGUAUCCAAAAGGGAAGCAACGACUCUAAUGGUGUCACGUGGCAGAAUUGUGAAGCUUAAGCCCGAGCACAUAGGCUAUAGACUUAGGCUAGCUCCACCAAUGGUUAUGACAUGACCAUUUUUUCAAUGUUUUCGACAGAUAAGAGAAUAUAAAGUAGUAAGCUCACCUCUAUUCAUUAUAAUCUACGUCUAUAUUUUUGCAAAGGUGAGUUAUUAACGGUCAUUUAAAGAAUUACAACUCUACAUGCUAACAUGUGAUCCUAAAGUUAACUAUGGAUACUAAUUAACAUCAUAUAUGAGCGACUAACUAGAUAUCGAAUAAAAAACAAUUACUAAUCAAAUAUCACUACAAAGCCAAAAGGCAAAUGACUAGCUCACGAUCUAAACUUUGAUCAAGUAUAGAUAAAAUAAUCAUGUAAAAGACCUCACAUAAGGAUUUAUUAUUAAAAAAAUCUACUUAUAUAGCUUGGCAUACACACAACACGUCAGUGCAAACAAGUGAUUGACUAAUCCAGCUUGUGAAGUUUAAACUUUUGUAAAUAAUAAUAUACACAAUCAGUCGUCUCAUGAUCAGUCAUCUCAGGUGCGACCAUCAUCUCACAACAAUCAAUUAGUUUAACGCACACAUUGAUCAACCAAUCAGGCUCACAUUGUAAACUUAAAAUUGUGAAUUACGAUCUAAAGCCACAUAAAAAUAAAACGUUGCGUCAUAUUCAAAACACAAUAAUUUCAUACUUCUAAGAGUAGUGUGAUUAGUUAAAUGUGCUUUCCUAGAUGUAGGUUUUGUUAGUUGAUCUGCCUUUAUAGCUAUUGUUGUUGUUCUCGACAACAAUUAGAGUAAGGGGUGCCAAUGCUCGAUGGCACAAGUGCGGGUGUAAAUGUAGGGCGUGUACGCCGGCCUUAUAGCGAAGGUUGUCGUACACUUGGACAAGUUGACACGUCAAUAUUUUUUGAAUAUGUUCGGUCGACCCUGCAGGUGCGACUUAAUCCUAUGUUAGGAAAAGCUUCGAGGGGGUUGUUAGCCGAGGGUUUGGGCCGAGCGGAUCUUCCCAAGACACCUUUAGGCGAGAGGUCCGUCGGGGCCGCUCGUACUUGGACCGAACGCGUAUUUCCAAGUAUCGAGGUUAGGAUUCCCUCGGAACUCUAACCCAACCCCUUCUCCUUCGAGUCCGGGCCGAACGCGUCUUCCCGGAUCUCGAAACUAGAGCUCUUUGCAAGAGACUCUAGCCCUCUCCCUUGAGUUUAUUCAAGUGAGAGUGAAUGAUACAUGCCCUCAUGUGGGGUAUUUAAAGCCUAGGGGUCCAUGACAAAUGACCAUGGCUACCCUUGAGGGAGAGAGAAAAGUGGAGGCAAAAGGAUAAAAGUAGGUCCUUUGGUCCAUAGCUUUUGUGUGCACCAUGAGAGAAAAGUAGGGUUUGGUCCAUGGUCCACCAUGGACCAAGGGCCCUCCUCUCACUUUUCUUGCUCCCCACUCUAACUCAUUUGACCCCUUGACCAUGGCAUGAGAGGCUUGACUUGUUGACUAGUUUUCCUCUGCCACGUAGGAUUGACCGCGCCACGUAGGUGUCUUUGACUCGUGCUUGCGGAAUGUUGACUUGGUCGCCAUCACAUAGGAUUUACGGCUCGGCCCAUAUAAGGGUUUAUUUUACUACUAUUCUUCAAAUUUUAUUUGAGUGUAUAUGUGUAGUGAGGUUUAUUAAUUUUGCAUUUCGAAAAAAUCAAUCGUGAACAUGGUUCGUGAAGGAACUUUUAAUUUCCUAUUUUCAUACUGGUCUAAUAGCACAUACCAGUGACAUGCCUUUGUCAUUUUUUUGUGCUUUAAAAAUAAUACAAAUACAAUAAUAAAUAUCUUUAAUAAAGAUGUUUUGCACGGGACACCUUGCUAGUUCUUUAAUUAAUGCAAAAAAGGGAAAUAUCAGGAAAACAUAGCUUAUGCAUUUUUUUUGUAAAUCCGGUACGCAUAUCCAUUUAACUGGUUUAAGUAACACUAAAGUAACAUAUCUUGGAGGGAAGCGCCGUCGCCGCGUCGUAUAAUUGCCUUAAAAAAAAGAUACUCUUUCCGUUUCAUAAUUUUUAUCUCAAAAUUUGCCCCCAAAAUAAUGUAUUUAUUUAUAAGAAAUGUUUAGAUUCAUGUAAUAUUUCGACAAAAAUUAUUAAACUGAGGGAGUAUCUCUUGUCCGUCGAGCACAUACUGCAUAAGCAUGCACACGCAGGUUGUGUCUCUGGUCUCUUCUGCGGUCAUUUGCAGUUUCGCGCUAAACUGACUAACGAACACUUCAAAGUUUAAAAAAAUAAAAAAAAAAAUAGCGAGAGCACCUGGUUGCGGGCUUGCUGCAGGAGCUCAAAGUUAAAUUGAUGCUCCUGUCGCCUAUAUAUACGAGCCAGUAGCUCCUUCAUCACAGCAUCAAGAUCACCACCACAAGUGCAUCUGUGCAAAGCGUGAAAAACAGAGCAAAACAUCCUCUGCCUCAGCCCGCGAAGCCAGCUCCUCUCCCCUGUUCCUACUCUGUUUCCCUCACUCACUGACUCACUCGAGAGUUCCUAGUGGAACGCGAGGCUUUGCUCGGGACCCGGCCAUGGUGGCGAUCAAGGCGCCGAGCUCCAUCGACCACGCGAACCCGCUGACCAAGUCCCCCAAGGCCGCAGCAGCAGCAGCAGCAGCGAUCCCGACGGUGGACCUGUCGUCCCCGGGCGCGGCGAGGGCCGUGGCGGAUGCCUGCCGCGGCGUGGGCUUCUUCCGGGCCACCAACCACGGCAUCCCCAGCUCGCUCGCCGCAGCGCUCGAGGCCCGCGCCAUGGCCUUCUUCGCGCUCCCGCACGAAGACAAGGUGGACGCCACCAUUGCCGCGGCCGCCCGGAGGCCCUUCGGGUACGGCAGCAGGAGCAUCGGCUCCAACGGCGACGUCGGCUGGCUCGAGUACCUCCUCCUCUCCCUCGGCUCAAACUCAAACUCCAGCUCCAUCCCAGGAGCUUCCUCCCUCCCGCCAUCGCUCCGGGCGGCGCUGGAGGAGUACACGGGAGCGGUGAGGAACGCGAGCGGGAAGGUGCUGGAGCUAAUGGCGGAGGGGCUGGGGAUGCAGGAGAGAUGUGCGCUGAGAAGGAUGGUGGAUGGAAGCGAGGAAGAGCUUGUCAGGGUGAACCAUUACCCGCCGACCAAGGAAGAAGACUGCGUGGCGGGGAUGACGGGGUUCGGGGAGCACACGGACCCGCAGAUCAUCUCCCUGCUCCGGUCCAACCGCACGGCCGGGCUCCAGAUUAAGCUCCAAGGACCCGACGCGCCAUGGGUCAACGUGGCUCCCGACCCGGAUUCCCUCUUCGUCAACGUCGGCGACUGCUUGCAGGUGCUGACGAACGGGCGGUUCAGGAGCGUGAAGCACAGGGUGGUGGCGCCGGAAGGGGCGCAGGCGUCGAGGCUGUCGGUGAUCUACUUCGGCGGGCCGGCGCCGGCGCAGAGGAUCGCGCCGCUGCCGGAGCUGAUGAGGGAGGGCGAGCAGAGCCUCUACAGGGACUUCACCUGGGGGGAGUACAAGGCGGCUGCCUACAAGACCCGCCUCGGCGACAACCGCCUCGGCCCCUACGAGCUGCGCAACGUCGCAGAUACUAAUCCGACGGCUCUGAUCACCGCCUCCAAGGAACCCACAGCCGCCGAUCACUGCUGCAGCAACAGCAGCAGCAGCAGCGCCGCCUGCGUCGUCGUCCAGCCGCCGCACGUAGCACAAGUGCACUAGCUAAGCUAGCUGAUGUCCGGCCGGCGGCUACUGUCGAUCGUUGGUCGGUCGUUUGAUGUGUAAUCCAGAUGUGGUAACUAAAGCUAGCUGUACGUGUGCCUGCCUGCUUUCCCAGCCCAAAAUUGGCAUGCGCCUGCGAAAAUGCCUCUCCCGCAUGCUCUGCUUCGUCCCGGUUUCAGUUUGUCCUUUCUGGGAAAACAUUUGUAACUUCCGCUAGUAGUAGUAGUAGGCUCGUAGCUGCAAGCCUGCAAGUGUGCUGCACCCUUUUGUCACCGGCAGUUUAACAGCUUGAAUCGCACGCUAUAUGCUGCCUGGUGUACUGUAAAUUAACGGCCCUAUUGUUCCGAUUGUCUUUGUGUGUUACUUACUUCUAGAGUACAAGUUAACUGGAGUACUAAGUGACAACGUUGUAAAAAAGCCCCCCUCUUCGCUUCUUUGGGGCCUUUUGUGCCGUAUAAGAAGUUAAGUACUUCAGAGGAAGAAGGAAACAGUUCAGUUUAGAUUCUACACGGUGCCAACCCCCGAUGCAUCAUCAAGACAUCAAGGUUCAGAUCAGACGACAGGGCUCGAGCCGUGCUCGGUAACAGCUCACGUCCGCUUGUUACAACUAGACGAGCCCCGUACGUUGUCGUGGAAAUUUUUAGUUAACAUACGUGAGCCCACGUUGUUGAGAACAUACAUGAAUGAAAAAUAGCAACAAAAGAGUAUUCAGUGAAAUGUAUAAUGGAAUUGUAUGAUAAAUUAUAGAUCAUUCACUUAGUAAAAAUAGCUUGAUGAAAAAUAGCAUGCAUGCAUGUGCAAAAAAUAUGAGUGUUUCACUAAAUAGAUAUGAACAAAUUAAUAGUGUGAUGAUGUGGCAUGCUUGCAUGUUGAGAGAAAUCAAGUAGCAGUAGCAUGUUCUUCUCCUUAGAUAUGGAAGAUUAGUGCUGUGCGUGGUACGGUUCGAGCUGAUCCAAGAGAAACGUGGUAUCUACGGAUCGGAUGUUCGGUUUACAAAAAAAAUCGGAACAACUAAAUCCUAUCCAAUUGAACCAUUGAUUCACCGGUUCGAACCUUCCUGUUCCUCAGGCCGAGGCAGCGAUUGAUCUCUCCAAUUCCUCGAUUUGCUGCUGCUGCCGCCGCCGCCGCUAAGCCCCACCGUGGUCGCCGCCGCCGUCUCCUUCAGUGCAAGUGAUCACAGUUCGCACCGCCUGCAAAUCCGCUCCCUCCCCACCCCCUCAGCGGCUCGCCGCCUUCAAAGCCGAAGCCAAGACGACUCCGCCGCUAAGACCAUCGGCGGCCGCCUCCGCAUCCCACGCCGCCACCGGGUGGAUUCGUCUCCAUCGCGCCGGCGCCCCCAACUCCCCGCCAACCUCCACCAUUACCCUGCUGUCGAUUCAGCGAGAUUGAAGUUUUUCUACCUCCGUCCCAGGCGCGCACUGCAGCCGAGCAGGCGACGAAAAUAACUCCUCCAUUACCCUGCUGUCGGCAACCUUCUUCGAGCUUUGAGCUAUUCGGCUUUUCCGGCCUGCAGCAGAGCAGCCGACGAGAGCCCUCUGGCAAGACGAAGCAUGCUGUUCUUUUCGGUAUGCAGUAUGCGCAGGCAAUUUAGGUUCGAACCAAAAGAUCCAUUGGAUCGUGUGGAUCACGGAUGCUGCUCCAAUGGAUCGAACCUUUUUACUCCCUUGCACCCUAGGUACGUGAAGUUUGGUGCGGUUCAGAGCCGGUACGAGCCACGCCCACCCCUAGUUACAAUCCGUUUUACUAAACCAACUAGUGGAAUGUCCGUGCUUCGUGACGGCUGAUGUUCAACAUAUAAUGGAAACGAAUAUUGAAAAGAAGGUGCAUAUCGUUUGCACGGAAUACAUAUCGGCCAUACCCAAUUGCUAUGAUAACAAAAUUCGACAAUACCAAAACAUUGAAAAACGACGAUAAAUAAUAUGAGAACUCAAGAAUACAGAACUUGGUUCAUACAUAGGAUGCGGUACAAACAGAUCUAUCUAAAGUACCACAUUAAAUAACAUCAAAGAAAGGUAAACUGGAACCAACCUAUAAUAGGGCAAGCUUGUUCAAGUAUAUUACAAUAAAAAUAUGCCUGGAAGGCAAAUUGGAAACAAAGAUCAUGAUUAGUGACAACAAAAACACUUACCACAUCUAUUAGCUGAUGAAAUGGUAGGAGCAAACCUUCACUAACAGCAUACAAGAACGAUGUCGCCAUUCUCUACAGCCUCCCAGAUAUUUUCAAGCCUCUCAUUCCUACAAGGACUUGAGUUGAUAUUAACAACUGGCACAGUUUGGUACCUCUUUUGUACAGUAGGAUAGAAUCACAUAAGGUAGAUUAUAUGUAUCCUGGAGGUUAUGGUAGAUUAAUAUAGACAACUUGUAACAUAUACAUUUUUAUAUUAGUGAUAUACAAGAAAUGGAAGUUGAAGGACUCAGCUACUUAUGGCUAAUGAAUUUGUUCAGGGUUCAGAAGACCGUAACCGGAUGGUUUGAGUUUCCAACGCAUUUGCAGCAUUGCCUUUUUCAAAUUUUAGUAAGCCCCAAAAUUACACCACUGAAAUUAAGCAACCAAACUCAGUAAAGGGAUACGUUCAAAAUGCAGAUAUUACCUUAUUACAUCCAAACAAAACGUAUGAAAUAUCAUGUUUAUGGGAAUUCCUAGAUUAGUGUGAAUAGUCCCAAGAGGAGCAACAAUAUCACCAACAUCCUCCCCGGAAGGCCGAAACAUGGCCCUUAUAGAUUUGGGAUAACACAACAAACCUACAGAUGCAAAGCAUGACAGUGAAACUUUGCUCAUAUGUCAGCUUAUUAGUGCAACCAGAAAACCAUAAUGCUUUUAGAAAAUAUUGGUCACUUGGAAAAAUAAAUAAACACAGAUUCUAGAGUACUAAGUGACAAUGUGUUACCGGUAUUAUGAGCAGCUCUGCAGAAAUCAAAGUUCAGUUCUCACAAACUCAGCUUCAUAUUUCAGUCUAUUUGUUGUUCACCUUUAACCCCACUUCAGGUGGGUUUCAUUCUCAUGCUUCAUGAUAGCAUAAGCAGCAAGUAUACAGUACCUUAGUCUUAAAAAAACAUAUAAUUUUCUUCCCUGUUACAUUGUGUCGUCAGUGGUGUUCCCCAUAUAAUUGACAUAUAUUCUUUGAACAUUCUAAAAGAAAAAAGGGGAUCAAACUUGUUACACACAUGUUCCCCAAAUAAUUGACUUUCUCCUCUAUCAAAAUCUAUUUGACAGAGAGAAUGGGUUAAAAUUCAGAUAUAUUGCCAGACUUACAGUUGUACAUAAUUGAAGUUAAGAACAAAGCAUUUCAAAAAUAAGAAACAAGGGAAUAUGAAACAUAUGAAAUUUGUAAACAAAGAAUGAGCAAAACAACAAAACAUGUGCAUCCAAAACUUAUUUAUUCCUACUUACUACUUACAUGAAUUAUAUUCUGAGUCUUCUGAGUGAGUUCCAGGUACCAAUGAGCCAAAUGGAAUCACGAUCAAAUUCGUUAGCAAGUGAUUGACGAACCGCCUAUGAUUUAUCGAAAUUAUGUCCAAUUAUGCUAUCUCAGAUAAGCAUCAACAUAAAAAUUUCCUACAACAACCUUCAUUUAUAUUAAAAGAUCAUGCAUUUUACUUGACGCUCUUUUACCAAAAUAUUGCAGUAAUCAAGUCAUGACCCAAAGAUUUCCGCACAUUUUACGGACUACAAAAUUAUAAAUCACCACAUGAAUUUAUUUUGUUUCAAAAUACCGCGCCAGAUUGCCAGAAGACCAUGAGUAAGAAAGAAGUGUCUACUCUUGGCAAAAGUCUAAACUACUCCUAAGUGCCCAUCGAUGGAAGGAAAUCUCAAUCAAUACAGGGGCACAUUGAGGAGUAAGACGGAGAGAGGUAUGGAUAGGGUUAGUUACCUUGAGGUGCUGGAUGCCGAACGAGUGGUCCAUGAGGGCCAGGGGAGAGUAUCCGGCGAUGGAGAUCGCCUGCGCAAGGGACGCCGAUGACUGUCAGCAGCAUGGUGCUGCCCCCGCCAAGCGCAGCCUCAACGGUGGCCAACAGGCGGCGGCGGCCAUCGUCUUCAUCAUCCGCCGCUGCUUCAUGUGUGAGGAAGAGGAACGGCGGAGGGCGCCUGCGCAAGGGACGCCGAUGACUGUCGGCAGCAUGGUGCCGCCCCCGCCAAGCGCGGCCUCAACGGUGGCCAACAGGCGGCGACGGCCGUCGUCUUCAUCGUCCGCAAUUGCUUCAUGUGUGAGGAAGAGGAAUGGCGGAGGGCGCCCACGCGGGAGACACUGAUGACGUCGAGCGCCCCGGUGCCGCCCCCGUCGAGCGCGGCCUCGGCGGGGGCCAACUGGCAGUGGAGGCCGCCAUCGUCAUCCGCCGUUGUGUCGUGCGAGAGGAGGGGCGCUGGUGACGAGACGUCUCUGGAGUAGGGGAUGGGAUGGGGACGAUGGCGGAUCUGGAGGGCUAGAAAGGAGGAGGUGGAUCGAGAGAACGGAAAGAACGGGUGCGUGGAGAACGGUGGAACGUGGUGCGGGAGAGAGGAGCUAAUUACGGCCGUGAUUGAUUGUUGGAUUGUUUUUUUUUUAGGGUUCAGAUAGGGAUGGUUUUCUUGGGGUGCGGGGAUCGGACGGGUGGGACGAGUGCGACGGAUGAACGUACGUACCAAACUCGAAAUUAAGUAGUAGUAAAGAUAGGGUGCUAAAUUAGGCAUUUGCAAUGACAGGUGACAGUUCACGUGGGUGCCAUGCUUUCCUUUUCCGUGACAAAUAGUACUCCCUCUGAUUCUAAAUUCUUGACUCAAAUUUGUCAAAAUAUGGAUGUAUCUAUUCUUAAAAAACGUCUACAUACACGUAAUAUUUUGACAAUAAUUUAGUAUUGGAGGGAGUAGUAUGUAUGUAAGGUUCGUGCUAACCUACAUGUUGACCCUACAAGCAAUUUUUUCUUUGAAAGCAUGCCAAAAUGCCAAAUUAGUCCUUAAAAAAAAGCUAGCCAAAUUAAAGCAUCCGGUUUUGUUCCUCAUCGUUCAUUUCCCUCCCUCCCUCCUUCCCUCCCACCCAUGUUGUCGUACAAUUGUUUUUUUUAACGGGUAAGGCUUCUCAUUUCUCAAAUAAUAGUACAAUUGGGUUUACCUGCCAUUUGCUGCCCAGCCACUAAUUGGUGCUUAUCUUCACGCCUUGUCGCCCCCUUGCAAUGGCAUUCAUCGGUUGGUUAAAAAGGGAAAAACAAGUUUGCAGCACCGGUACAUUUGUACAUCCUUUUCUAUCCACGCAACCACGCGAGGCCGGACGACACGUGCUGAUGCGACUGACGGGAAAGCUGGUUUGGACGGAUGAGCAGAGAGAGAGAACCCGCGCUCGAGCCGCACGUCGGUUUCUUCUUGCAGGAUAAACAUUGCACGUACCAAACGAGCAAAAAUAAGGAACCGGGUGCCAUAUAUAUCCACUCGAUCGGCUCGGACUUUGUCGCCGCCGCCGCGGCUGCUGCUCCUGGCGUCCCGCAGACAGAUUCCCACGAGCCUUGGGCUUCAUCACACGGAUGCCUGUUACCACUCGAUCGACCAGCCCAAAUAGUCUAGCCGUCCGGACUUCGCGUGCGUGCUGCUCAUAUAAUUGUUGGUUGCGUGGGGGCAAUUAUUGACGUACGUGUAGGCGCGCGUACUAGGAUUAAUCUAUCGACGACCACCGUCAUUCACGAGGUCCGGUCGCGUUUGCUAUCGAGCCCAGGCUCCUAGCUAGUUCGACCGGAUAAGGCCGUUCCCGAAUCUAGUCUCAGUGGCAGUAGAAGAACAGUAGCAGCAUUCUGGUGUGUUCUCUGCCAUUGCUCAUGGGGAAAUAGCGGUGUGGUUGAUCUGGUGGAUUUUUGUGCGGAACCCGACAAGCAUGCAUAUUAAAUGGCUUAAAUUUGUCAAAUAAAUAUAAAUGCAUCUGAAACCAAAACGGGACGGAGGAAGUACCAGUAGUAUAAAAGAACUGUGCACAUAAUGCAUGGACGAUGAAAUGGCCUCACAUGGCGAUCGACCGCGCGCGCUUAGGGCGCCGGCACACGUAGAAGAGAGCCUCGUGCUCGCGCGCGAGCUGAGCAUAUAGCACGUACGGUCCGAGCGGCGUCCCGGGCGGGGAUCUGCAGCCUAGGCCUGUCCGGGGCGCCGUCGCAUCGGUCGAUCCAUCGAUGGCGGGACACGGGACACACUGCACACAGCACGAACACGUGCGUGCAUGCGCUAGCUGCAUAUGCCAAAUCUGGUCUCGGUUCACGUUGGUACGUACGCGCUCGAUUGAUCGAUCGAUGGACAACUGACGUAUCGAUUCGAUACGUCAGGGAGGGCUACGUACGGAAAGCUAUAGCUAGCGGGGCCGCCAGAAUCGAGCAGGGGCUCGAUCGAUUCAGAUUCGAUUCGAUCUGGGGUCGAGAAAUAUGUGUGUGACUAGCUGCUGCUAUACGCACGUGCAUAAUACUACUGGUAUGCUACACUUCUCGUUAACUAAGAUGAUCUAUCAGCCGGAGGUGGCCCGUUAAAUUGAAGAGAGGGAGAGAGAAACGUUCAAACUGAAAGGAAAAAAUGGUGUAACUAUUUUCAAACAAAGGUAUUAAAUGUCGAUGGACAUGUCAGAGACAUCGGAUCAAGAUCCGAGGGUCAUCCACACUUUCCCCUCCGUAACGUGUUAUCGCUGGAUUAAAAUCUGACGACCAACAGGGGCGGAGUUACAGCGUAGACAUUGGGUUCAGAUGAGGAAUUGGAUCCGAGCCUACACAUAUGAACCCCAUGAUUAUAGUGUAAUGAACCCAGUGGUUUCCUUUUCUGGCUCCACCCGUGACGACCAAUCACGUCGACUUGUCUCUAACUAAAAAAAUACAGACGACUUCUUAAUAGCAAAACAUGAAAAAGGAAUAUAAUGUCUCUGUAAAAUAUAGAAAGACGUGGUUCUCCGUUAAGAUGUUGUGGUUAUUUCUCUUCUGUCAGUUGACCAUUUUUGUCCCCGUCUGAUCCAGCGCCGCUCCGUUACCGUACCAUGUUUUUUCACGUCAUUAUCCGUCCGUAUUCCUUAUUUGUUUUUGCAUUCAUAUCAUGUCCGUGCCGCUUCCAAACCAAUGGAAAUUGUGAAAUAAAAUAUGGUACUAUAUAAAAUCAUUAUCCGGUCCCGUUUUACAUAUAUGCUAUAUUCCUCAAGUAUGUACAUCGAUCGCGGUCUUGUAUGAUUCAAAAACAAAAACGAAAUAUCAGUAGAGAGCAAGCGUACAUGCACACGCAGGAUAUGCUUUCGUUGGUUAAUUCGGUGUACGUACGGACCACCGCGAUGUCUCUGCGCCCGUCGACGUCACACACGCUUACGUGAGUGCGUGCGUACAGUCGGUGAUUAAUCGAUCCGGAAACGUGCCAAUAUAGUCUGCAGCCGCGCCGGCUUUUUAUACUCCCUGCAAUCAAUGCACCCGGCCCUCUCGUUUCGGCCGAAAACUGCAUACCACGCUCGAUCGAAUCAUCCAAGUAUACAGAUACACACAUGCUUCUCGAUGACUCGAUCGAUGGACUUACGGUAUAAUCGUACAGUAGUUGCUUUCGCUUCCAGACGUAGGUACACGGAACGACGAACCGGGAAAAACGGCCCUCCUGCUCCUGGCUUGGAAUCAUUCCACCUCUGGUGGAAAUCCUGGACCACCCGUACGUCCAUAUGCUCCCUUGCGAGUUGCAGACACGUUAUACGUACUCAUGUAAUCGCUCCGUUUCAUAAAAAUUGACACGAUUUUAAAUCAGAACUAAGUUAAAAUCAUGUCAAUCUUCGUGAAACGGAGGAAGUACCUGACAGGAAUGCAUGCAGGGAUCAGGCACUCCAGUUUGGAGUUGGAACGGGGCACACAUGUGGAAAAAGUUUCGAACUAACAAGGUGGCGACUGCGACCAAAGCCAGAACCAUUUUUUGUCGAGCACGAUCGAUCGACCUGCAGCGCCAGAGCCACUAGAGGGCCCAGAUCAGCUUGCCCCGCCCCAAUUCCAUGCGUUCCGGUUGUUUCCUUUCGAGCCCCCUGCCCCAGUUGCCUGCCCUUUUAUCUCUCAGCGAUCAGUUACGUUCAUGCAUUCUUGGCCACACGUACCUACACUACAAUCGGUACUACUACGUACAUGCGAGAUAGCUAUGUCCCGAUCGAGCCUGCAAUUAACGGCAACUCGACCGAUCAAUCUGCAAGUAGAGACAGUAAUCUCGAAUUUGGUUCAAAAGCAGGCAGCGAAUCCUGGAACGACCAAGUUACACGGUACUCCUAUGUAAGCUAGUACUAGUACAACUAGUAGCAUGCCACCGGUGGAUCACUCACCUGGGGAUACAAAACCGUUCUCCUUCGAUUAGAGUCGUCUGCAUUAUUGACAGUUUCGAUGGACCAGGCAGACAGAAGCAAAGCCUGGAUGCGCGCGGGAUCCACUUGUCCAGCAAAAGGGCACGAAUCGGGGAGGUCACAGGACUUAAACAUACGAUAGGCCACGCGAGCCAAAGGCGUGCCGUACUGUGCUGCCCCUGCCUGGCCUGUCGUGUGAUGUGACAGAAAAAAAUUAAAGGGAGCGGCGAACCUGCGUUUCAUGAUCAUUGAUAGAUGGAUGGGUGGAUCGAGCUAGUAUUAAGCUGGUUGUGGUGUGUGUGUGUGGAGGGGGGUCUGUCUUUGAAAAGUCGACGCUGCAUGCGGACGUUCAGUUUCAAGUGGCGUGCAAGAUGUUCCUAGUGAAAAUGUGAAAUCAUGGGGGAAAUAGGCGAAGUUUGCAGGGUUGAACGGCACACCGCGUUUGGCUGACGGCUCUAUGCGCGGAUAUGAUGUUUUCUUUUUAACGAAUAUUCUGAUAUUUUUCAAUACCAAAACCGUAUUCGGAGUUAGCUGGCGUCUGAAUUUUAAACAGAAGACUUAAAUCUCCGGACUCUUGAAUUAAGAUCUAAGUGUCAUCCCCACUCUCUCUUCUCCCGCAUGCUGUUGUUGGAUUAAGAUCCAAUGUUCAAACACGUCAGCUGAUCGCUAACUAAGAAACAAGCGACUUCUUAAUAGCAAACCGUUUUCUGAAUCCCCACAUUCGAUAAUAAAAUUCCACCGGGAACCUACCAUGCUGUAUGCAGAUAUCGACCUUCUUUUUUUGGAUUGUGAUAAGUGUAUUUUCAUAGUUUAAAUAUUGUUCACGGUGCAAAUUCCGCCCUUGCGUGGCGGGUUAUUGGACAUUCAACUGUGGAUACCGAGCUUAGCAAAUUUUUGUCGAACUCUUUUUGGAAUGGAAUGGAUUAAUACAAUUUGACUAAGAGUCAUCAUUUUUAUGGUUUAGGGUGGUGGCUGCACCCCAAAACCUACCAAGGAUCGAACCCCAGGUUUGACCCUCGGCGUGUCUCAUUUGAGCCGAAUUUCUUUUGGCAGUAGGAGAUGCAAUCCGUUCACGCUUCACACUGAAGCGUCAGUGACUUCGUCGAUCUCAAAACGUUUUCACGAUUCUGGUCAUCCGUGUGAGUGUGUGCGCACGGCGGUGUACGUCGUGUGUGAUCAUUGUUCCUAAAAUAAAGUACUUCCUUCGUCUAACAAAGGAUGUCUGAAUUUUGAUUAAAUUUGAAUGCAUCUAUACAUCAAGUCAUGUCUACAUACAUCAACAUUUUGACAAACUUGAGACAUCUUUUGCUGGACGGUGAAAGUAUAGGAGCCCGGGAAUAGCCGCAUCUUAUUACAAGCAAUUAAUAUUUCGACCCUGAACCAGUUUGAGCUUAACCCCAGUGGAUCGGAAUCGGGUUCACUGAGCGAGCGAGCGCUCCAUUACAGAUUUUUACAGGCACUGAGGCACCGUCUCUUCCUGCUGCCCCCCUCCGGGGAGCUAGCUGCGUGCUAUGGACCGCCCAUUCGUGGAACGGGCUGUACCCACCAAUACCUACGUACCUGCGCGCCUGCCAUGCCACCCCUCUGCCACGGGGGGCUGUCGGCUCCAAAGAAUCAUGCAAUAAUUACCAGCUUCUUCUAUCGGCGGCAUACAGAGGAGAGGAUUGAGCUUUUGAGCAUCUCGUGUGCAGAGAGAAUCUCUCUGCCCGUUCGCGCCAGGUGGAUGUAUUUACUUGCGCCAGGAGCAAACGAGCAACUCGUGACCGCCUACGCACGUUUCCCCGACUAGACAAGUCAAUUGGUGAAAAUUGGUGAAAUUGGCAGCUAGCUUAUUUAUCCCUUUAUCCAUUCGCACCCACCCCACCCCGGCCACCCUCCGCGCUGCGCAUGCAUGCAUGUCCUCGUGGGCUCUCGAGGACUUGAAGUACGUACGUCGCAUGCAUGCAGAUAAGACGGAGCUAGAGAGAAAGCCUCUUCUUUUCGCUCGUGGCCCGGCAUGUGCAUGCCAAUGGCAAUGCCAGCGUCCCAGUCAGCUACUCUCUCCGUUCCAAAUUCUUGCCUCAAAUUUAUCCAAAAAUAAAUAUAUUUAUUUUUUAAAAACGUUUAUAUACAUGUAAUAGUCCGACAAAAAUUAUGAAACGGAAGGAAUACUGACCAUAGCUAUGGUCAGUACAACUCCUAGUGACAAGUGCAAGCAGGGGAAGUUCAUACUCUAUGUGGGAGGUGCAAUGCAUCUCUCGCUCUAAAGACGUGGUACUCCUAGACUACAGGACUACCACGUACUGGAUUCAUCGAGAUGUGAUGGAACGGUGUACCAGGGUGCGUGGCAUGCAUGUAGACGCCGGGCCGAUCGAUGUAUGUCGAGAGCGGGAUAUGGACAACGAAAAAGGGUGUGGGCAGGGUAGGUGUUCGAUCAAAAUCCACGGACAGUUCCAAACUGAGGAGACCAUGGGGAAACUACUGGACAUCGGGGGUAUAGUGUUCACGUGACGUCAGAACUGGGGAGAGCUACACAACCUCAAGUCGUCGUCUUCUGGUAAGCAAGAGGACCCUUGUUUGGGAGCGCAAUGCAAGUGCAGAUGUUGUGCAGGCGCAGCAGAGACGUGACCCUUGCAGAAGAAAACGCGAAGAGCCGGGUAUAGUGGAUAUGUGGAUGCGUGAAUUAUCGUGGGCCGGGCCGCUUCAAAGCCUGGUAACGCGUGUCGUCGUGGCCUGGCCCAGAUUAUGCUGCUCAUCCGUCCAGCUCGCAAUACAUGAAGAGAAGUUCAAAAACCCGCUGUCCACUUUUGCAUUUAUCCAACGUUUCCUUGAUGAUUUGUCUCUCAUUCGUGAUGUUGUCCAUGCUGUGACACCGGAGCCUCCUCCUGGUGGUGGUCGCCUUGUCCCGCCCACCAACCGCUGGUCUCCUCCGUCGGCUGGUAUGUGUAAAAUUAAUGCGGAUGCUGGAGUUGCAAGGUCAGGUGCAGGUGGUUCUUGUGCUGCGGUCUGUCGCGAUGAAUGUGGAAGAUUCAUGAGAGCCUCUUCGAUUACAAUCGAGGGCAUGACCGACCCUACAAUACUUGAAGCAUUGGCAUGUAAUGAAGGCUUGUCUCUGGCCUUGGACCUUAACAUCUCAAAAGUUUGUGUUGUUUCGUACUGCUUAACGGUUAUCAAGAGUCUACAACAAGAUGAUCUUUGCUAUUAUAGUGCGAUCAUUAAGGAUAUUGUGGCAAGGAAGGAUCAGUUCCGUGAUGCUGUUUUCAGACGUGAGAAGAGAACUCUUUAUAGAGAUGCUCAUAAUCUAGUUAGAGCGGAGUUACCGCUUUCUGUUGGCCAUCAUAUUUGGCUUUUAAGUACCCCAUGCAUUACUUGUAUUCCUGUUCAAGUUGGUGUUGAAUAAAGCUGGCCUUUCCCCUAAAAAUAAAAUAUCCGUCCAGCAGAACUGAAUCCCCAAUAGCGCGGUUACAAGACAAGAAUGAUUAUGUAAUUAUGUUCCUUGUUAUCGUUUCACUUUGCACCACAGAAAGAGUGCUCUGUUUGGCUCCACCAAGGCAAAAGGAAAGAGAAACAGGAACCGAGGAGUGUCUCAUUGUCAAUUACUAAUUCAGCCAACGAACCCAUAAAACAUGUACCGACGCAAAUGCAAUUCAUCAGAAGUGUUCUUCAAGGAAGAACACAGACAGGGUAUCGGACUACCGGUGACUAUGUUUGGAUAUCUUACAUGCUCAGAAUGCUGCGGGCGAGUUAACUGGGAAAUAAUUGAAGAUGAAGAAAGGACACAGCAAGUUACAUAAGCGGCAACAGAUUUUGCUAGAGUGGCACAGCAGUGGCAGGUGCUGGAACAUGCACCUCAAAUACAAUCAGGAACUCGAACUGUUUAUAGCUUUGGACACUUUCUUCCAUCGCAAAACACUUCGAGUUUGUUCUUAUCAAGCAAAUGGUUUUCGAUUAGGCCCAGAUAUGACAUGGUGUUAUUACAUGCAUAACAGCGCUGGCUUGUCAAGCACCACUGGCAUACAGGCGAGUCCACUCCUUCGCUGCAAAGCAAAAAAAAAAUUGACAUGUUAGGUACAAAAAGCAAUGAAAAGUGGAGCAAAAUGACAUGCUAGUGUAUCAAAGUGCAGUGUUAGCGUGCGGCUUUGUUGGCUGAAUUUUCAGUUACCUGUCUCGACAGCUUCAGCUUCAUUGGAUUUCCAGUGUUUUGCCACGUUUUCUGAGAGCGGAUCAUCUGGAUUCGGAGCGCUCAGCAGUGCCUGAAUGCUGCAGACCAAACAUUGUAAAGAGGCAAAAAAAAAAGAGUAUACAAUAGUGGAUACAAGAAGCAACCCUCUGGAAAUACGAUAAUAUGAUACGAUCAUGAACUAUAAUGAAACUAUUUGGCCAAACAUGCCACGGAAGACAGAAGAGGUUGCUACCUCAAAAGAACAGUACGUAUCUGAAGAGCUGGGCUCCAUUUGUCCUUCAGGAUAUCGAGGCAUAUCCUACCAAGCUGCAGUGCAAGUCAAUCCGAAAUGAGAAACUGUUAUCGAAUGAAGUUCCAUUGAGAAUAUCAGUUCCCUACCUUGUCAAUGUUGGGAUGGUAUAUUUUUGUGAGAAACCUAACCUGCGUCAGGAAUAACCAAAGAGUGAUGUCCAUCAGAAAGAAUCACAACAGAGACAACAUACAGAAAAGUCAAAUAGAAUUGUGUAACUACUUUGGUUAGACGACAGUGUCACACUAAAACUAAAACAACCAUGUUGAUAUCCGUAAGAGUAAAACAGUCCAAGGACAGGAGUUGAGAACAAAAUAUUCAGCUACCUCUUAUUUAACAUGAUGGAAAUUACUACUCCCUCCGAUCCAUAUUAAUUGUCGAAAUAUUACAUGUAUCUAGACAAUUUUUUAGCCAUAGAUACAUCCAUAUUUGGGCAAAUUUGAGACAAUUAAUAUGGAUCGGAGGGAGUAUUAGUCUGAGUCUCAGAUGAUAUAUCACAAUGUCAGUACACUCCAAAUAUAGCAUUGCCAAUUAAGUAAAGUAAAGUACGGAACUGUGCAAAGGAGAUUAGUUAAGUGAACGGAGAGAGAAAUCUAGUAUGGAUACGAAAAGUAUUAACACAAUACUAAACAUGGGCAUUCAGUAUUCCUGAUCACAAAGAUGGUAUGCAAAUCUAUUAAUGGUACAUAUCAACAACAAACAUGGGCGCUGCCCAAAAUAAGAUGUCACAAUAAAUUGCUGGUUUCGGUUAACCACAGGCAUAAUUAAACGUCCAUCCCACUGUCGCACCAUAGCAUGAUAAAAUCAUUGCGAAGAUCGCUCUGCCAGAUUUUGAACUCAAAUUUCAGUUACAACUUACAACUAGGAAAUGAACCAAAUUCCACAUCAAGGAGCCUACCGGGACAAGAAAAUCCAUCACAAUAUGUGUCAAACUAAUAACUUCUUAAACAACCAUCCACUAAUACUUGAUCAAAAAAUUACUUUUGGAGCAGCCAUCGGAUAUUCCUCAGGUAAGAAAAGUUCAAGCUUGAAAACUCCACCUGUCCAACACAUAUUAGAAGAAAUAUCAGGAGGACCAGACACAGACAACUAAACAAAAUAAUGUUUCACCCAAUUAAAAAUGUCAUAAGCAAAUACAGUAUACAAAGAUAAGUAAACCAAGCUUAAAUAAAUAAGAUAACAUAGUGACAAAUGUACUGUCUAACAAUAGGAAAACAGGUCGUUCUGUGUACCAUUUAUCAUAUACAUGCACCGCAUUUCAUUACUCCAUGUUGCAUGGAAACAUGGUAGAUAGUUCCUUGUGCCGUAUAUCAGUAAACUUCAGUAAUCGCAAAGGUUAAGGAAACCCAAGACAUUCAAUUCCCAUAGGUUACUGAUAUAUGGUACAGUUGUAGAUCUAGCAUGUUAAGGAAACUACAAACUUGUGCCCCAUAUCAUAUCUAAACUAAUAGCAGGUAUAACUGUUGAAGUAUAAGGUGAAUUGCCCUCAUUUCUCCAUCAGCUUAGGCUUUUAGGGGCACUGGUUCGGCCCAUAUGCAACUCUCCAUGGUAUCCGAGCCAAGAGGUCCCGAGUUCAAGCUCAAUAUAAUAAAAAGGCACUUUUGAUCCAUGAGGGGGAGUGUUGAAGUACGAAAUGAAUUGCACUCGUUUCCCCAUCAGCUUAGACUUUUGGGUGAACUGGUUCGGCACAAGCAACUCUACAAAAGGCAGUCUUCCUAUGUGGAAUAACUUCUACAAAUAAAAAACCAGGUUCACUAGAGCUUAAGAUAACCGAUGAAAUGGACUUGUCAAGCUAUAUUUUGUGAUGGAUUCAACAAAGCAGAAUCUCAAAGUAUAGAAUCCAAAAGGCACAGAAGAGUACAAUUACCACUGGAACAGCUGGGUACAAGAUGGUCGGAUUGCUGGUCUAGCAAACAUAAGUUUAGAAGUGUAUAGUUCCGGCAGCACUAGAACAACACCUUUAUGUGACCAUCCUGAUAUGAUCAUCCAUCUGUGAUGUUUUACUACAUAUUUGCAGCAUUUUACAAACAAAAAGAGCCAUAGAUACGAAAAUGGGGACGCGGUGACCACAGUUACAGUCCUAAAUUGCCACAGAACUACGCAUUCGUGCUCCAAAGUAUUACAGGGUUAUCGGCAUACGAAACAUUCCAACAGAAAUAAAAUGAAAAGGAGGUUUUACCUUCAUAAGGAGACUGCGCCGGACCAAGGACCAUGACAUUGAAGUAGCGCAUGUUCUCCUCCGACGGCGACGCGCUAAUCCCCGGCGCUGCACGCACCCCCCCAACACACGAAUCAGCACAAACAUCCGAGGCUCGAACGCGGACAACACAACAGGAGCAUCGAAUUCUAGGAAAACGAACCUGGUUCGCUGAGCAGCCGCUGCGUCUCCUGCAGCAGAUCCAAAUUCCGAACAGAUUAGGCACCACGCACAAGGAAUAACCAGACGAUAAGGUUAUCAUAUCGCGUUAGAGUCUCAGAAACGGCUGUAGAUCUGGGGGGGUGAGGGGCGAUCGGAUCGCGGGGUAGGGCGCGCGCACCUUGAUGAUCCGGCGCGGGAGGUUGCUGUUGGCCAUGGAGUCCGGCCGGGGCUGGAGCGAGAGCCUAGAGGGGAGGGGGGGAGGGACCGCCUCGAGCUUCGCGCGGCGACGGAGGAGAAGACAGCGCGAGAGAGGUCAAAGGAGUCGUCGAUCUGUCGGGGAGGGCGAGCCGGGGGAGGAGGCGACGAACGAACAGAAAUGGGUCAGGGUCCGAUACUGUGUACCACGUAUUUAUAAACUCCACGCUACAGCCGCUGCUGCUGAUAUUUUCCUUUUCCUCUUGAGCUGGUGUUUUCGUUUUAUACUCUACCGACCUGUUUGUUUGUCCUUCUAUUUCAGUUUUUUUGCAUCUGGCAAUCUUAAAAGCAUCUUUUCUGUUUACACGUGAAGCUGAGAGGCACCUCCGAACAUGCUAAACACUGUUUACACAUGAAGCUGAGAAGCACCUUCGGACGUGCUAAACAGAAAAAGUGCUUUUGAGAUUGCUAAAAGUACCAAAAACUGAAACAGAAGUCCAAACAAAUAGGCCCAGAGUCUGCUGGAUUGUGAAUUUGAAUACGCACACGGCGAAAUCAAAAUACGAAGUCAUGGCCACUAUGUUUAAAAUAAAAUUCGUGUACUUGGACAAAACAGAAGUUGUUCGGUGAAUAAAAAAACCCUAGAAAUGAUUUUCCGACGUAAUAAACGGUAUAAUAGUACUACUAGUAGUACGAGGGCUGCUGCAGCGGAGAUUAAAAAAAAACGGUGUUCGUUUUAGGUGAGCCAGGGAGAGCAUCUCUCCACGCGAAGGGAGCACACAAUUUAUGCAUGUGCAGAGAGAGAGAGCACGGAGAAGAACAACCUUUGGGUUUGCCUAAUUGCAACGGCCAACUUGUGACUUUGUGUUGUGCGCGCUCGUCGUGGAAGGAUCUCAGGCGAAAAGGAAGGUGGGGGAAAGCUCGAUUAUUCUCCGCAGCUUCAAUCCCACGCUAAGCCGCCUGGUCGAAAAGGUUUGGCUGGCCAAACCGGUUUUGCAUGGUACUCCGUAACAUGUUUUUCAAGUUUUUUAGAACUUUGGAGGAACUCGAAACAAAUUGAGAGCAUACGCUUUCUAAGAGUUGAAAAGUAUUAUUUUCGAAGCACGGGCAGUCGGGCACGGGCAUCAGAGCAUCUCCGUUGCCAGUCGCUCGAAGCGAAGAGAAAUCACGCACUUCCUCUGCUACCGAAGCGAAGGCAGGAACAAGAACAACAGCGACGAGACACAGCCAGAAAUUCGGCAUAGUAUUUGCUCAGGGCUAGAUUCCACUGUAUUCGCUGUAAUCUGGUAAAGCAUGUCGCAUGUGCCCAGACUACAGGAGGAUUUCAAGACAAGUAUCCAGUCCUGUCUUAUUUACAACAGAUAGCGUGCAAAACUAUGCUCAAGAAUCAAGAUAGAUAAAUAACACUGGAUUUCCCCAGUACUUGCUACUUCACCGAACUACGGAGUACAACUGGUAAAGAAUAGUUUCACAAGUCGGAUCCUGAGAUCACAAUGAAAGAGAAGAUACAACAGGGAGUAUUAAAUCUGCACAUGAUCACAAGGAAAUCCAGAUGCACAUGAAUCCAGACAAUAGGAAGAACAGGGAACAGUUUGACAUAUUUUUUCUAAUAAAACAGAAGGUCAGAGUUGCAUGCCUACAUUGUCAACAAAAUAAUAGAUGAAUUGCACGAACAUACCUCAACGACUCAAUGUCAACAUGGAUUUACACUAACAAUUUUUAGUCUUUGACCUUUCAUACUCUUCAGAAUUAAUUAUUACCAGACUAAAAACUACAAUGCACCUAAGAACACGAGCUUUCGCUUCAGAAUAUCCCAAGGAUGGUGGGGGCAGGUGGAGCACGCCAUCAUUGGAGAGCAAGAGCAACGCCAUGUCAUUAACUGAUCAUCUUCAAAUGAUAAUCUGUAGAAGAGACAAUGGACAAGAGUCAAUUGAUCGCUUCACCAAACAGUAACAUUACAAAUUUGCUAUACAGGCUCCAAACAAACUGAUUUUCUAUCAGUCUACGCUUAAACAUAGCAGUUAACAGGGGCAAAGCUUAACACAGGCCCAUCAGCAAUCAUGCAGAGAACAAGGCAAGGCAGAUCAUCCAUGGGAAUCACACAACAAUCCACAAGGAAGCAUGCAUUACAUUCUUUGGAAAGCCAAUCAAGAGAAAUCUGGGUUCAGCGAUCGGAAAGAUUUACAAUGGAUAAGAUAUGUCAAAAUUUCAGUACUGGAAACUUCAGUUACAAAGCAAUUUGAUAAAUCUUACAUGCCAAGACAAGUAUAGAAGAUAUAUCUUUAUAUAAUAAUACUGACUCGUAAUUGUUAGGCUUACAGCAAAAAAAAGGUUAAGUUUCAUUAAACAAGCUUAUUUAUCGGUCUCUGAGGAGCUGGGUUACCUGUAGAUAAAUGGGACCAGAAACUAAGAGGUUACCUGUUGACUCAAGCUUAUGCUUAUUUUGGCGAUACACGUACUCUUAGGCUGGACAUAAUUCACCCUAACGAUUCUCACUAAGACAUGAGAAAGGAAUUCUAGUACGGAAAGGAAGUGAAAACCAGCGCAUGUGCAUCCAAGUGACUCCUAGUGAAACAGCACAGAGAGUGUCCCAGAUCGAUUUUAACUCUGAGUCACCAAGUGGUUCGUCGGUAUCAAUUUGAUCCUAACAGAUUCCAGGCAAUACCAUCAUAUGUCACCCAGUCAUGAUUUCCAGGAAAAGAAUAUAAGUAUUUUCAUCAUACAGACAGAAUUGAAGAAAAACUAUUAUUAGACCAUACAUUAUGGUCUUUCAUUUGUCAUGACAAAAAUGUACUCCCUCCGAUCCAUAAAAGGUGACGCCCAUUUUGUACUAAGUUAGCACAAAUUUUGUACUAGGUGGGCGACACAUUUUAUGGAUCGGAGGGAGUAAUAAGAAACACUAAAAGCUCAAGAUAGAAACUAUGAUUAGUUAGUUCAAUCUUUUAAUAACACCUAUGACAUAACAGAGCUGCACAAUUAUAAUUCUGUAAAUUUUAUCACACCCAAAAACCCAGAGAACCAAACGAUAAGAUACAUAAGUACUUAAAUCUACAAUCAUAACGAGAUGGUCAACAUAUCUCAUCAAUGCACAAAAUUAAAUAGAAAAACACACGACGAAAACAUCCACCAAACAUUAUCUACUGAAGACACAAAAUAUAAAUAGAAUCUCACAAAGCCUACACCAGGAUAGAUCUUAUAUGUGAAUAUCAAUGCUCAACAGGACCGAAAGCCUUAUUUAUGAAGGUUAUCGCACAUUUGGGCUAAGGCCAUUGUAACAUAAAAUAGUCCAAAAUGCACAACAUAUGGGGUGGUCGGACUUCGGCAACGAAACUUCAGACAUACUCGCUAGAUUUUCCGAAGCAACAGUAUCUAAACUUUUUUGUUGCUAAUCCUCCGCAGCAACUCGAGCCAAUUGUUUACCAAGAUCCUUAUCGAGAUUAGCUAGAUUAUUAAACCUUGACUGUAGAUAAACGGACAUGUAUGUAACAUAUUGCUCAGAACAAUCAAGUCGGGCUCACCCAAGCUUGUUUACACCCAUAUGAAGGAAAGGCUUAUUGAAUUGCAUUGUCAGGAAAUCAGCACUUCCCCAAACAAACUGAAAGUACCUUUAUUCCACAACCUAUAAACAUCAAUGGAUAUACUCAGAACACAACAGCUUACAUGUGUGGACCUUCCCACCAUUAAGGCCAAACAUAGUAACAAUAAGUUCCACUUAUUAAAAUGUCAUUGUAUACAAGAAUGUCAGAUUAAAUUAUGCCUCUACACAAGCAUACCAAUCCUGUCACUAUCACUGAAAGUCUGAAACAUUAACUAACAGCCAACAUCAUGCCACAUAACUUGUAAUUUUAGCACAUCAACAUUAGCAUUACAGAAACAAUAGUAGCCACAGAUCACAUAAACGAACAAAAACAAUCUACAGCAAUGUUCUAAACUGAAAUGCUAAAACAUACUUUACCUAAAACCCUCGUCCGCAUCAGAGGUAAUUGGAGUUGGAAAGGAAAGGCAGCGCAGCAACGGAUGAAAUCAGCUCCACUCCACCAGCACCAUUGGAUGCAGCCCCUCCGCUCUUCUUCGUGCGCUUCACCCUUGCGAGCUUCACGUGCGCAUCGACGAAGUUCUCCAUGCGCUUCACCUCCAGCUGCUUCAGGAAGUCAAUUCGCUCGCGUUCCAUCUCUAGCGAAUGCUUUUGUUUCGCACUCUCCACGCGCUCAUACAUCUCUGCAAAAGCCUCAAUUGCCCUCGCCAGCUCGCUGACACCACUAUCCCCAUCACCGCCAGCCUCGCGACGAAAGGGACGCUUGUUGCUACCGCCGGAGCGCGCCGACGAGACAGAACGCGACGGUGACCUCCGCAAGUUGUCAUGGUGGUUGUUGUUGUUGUUACCACCAGGAUGAUCACCAGAGUCCUCCGAAUCAGACACCGCUGCAGCGGCGGCAGCGGCUUCCUGCUGGAUGAACGCAGCGGCAGGGAGCAGCGCCCCGCGGCGGUAGCUGGGGAGGGGCAGAGCCAUGGGCGGGGGCGGGGACGGCGAGGAAGAAGGCGACGGGUACUUCCUCGCGGCGGUAGAAGAAGGAUGGACGGGCAGGGCGAGGUGCGGGGCCAUCGCCGGCGAGGGCCGCUUGUUGGCGGCGGAGUUGAGGGUGGGGCCGACGAGUCGGUCGAGCUCGUCGAAGAAGCUCCAGCCCGACGGCGCGCCGCGGACGCGCUCGGCCUUGUACUUCUUCUUGAGGGUGUCGACGCGGUUCUUGCACUGCACGUCGGUGCGCGGCGGGCGGCGGCGCGCGGCGGCCCCGCGGCGCGAGUUGACGGCGUUGGCCACCUCCUGCCACUGCUUCUGGCGCAGGUUGCCGCGGUUGAGCUCCACGUAGCGGCUGCCCCACGCGUCCACCAGCGCCGCCGUCUCGCCCUCGCUCCAGCAGUCCUCCCGGUAGGGCAGGUUAGGGUUGGGCGGCGGCAGCCUCCCAAACCCUCCCCCUCCUCCUCCUCCCCCUCCUCCCGCCGCCGCCGCAGCAGCAGCCGCAGCCAUCUCCCUCACCUCCAUCGGAACCAGAUCUCGCAGGAGCAAACCCUAACCCUAGCUAGCCCGCCCGCCGAGAGAAGAGGACCGAGCGAGCCUCGGGGAAGUCGCGCGUGACGGUGGGCUAUGUGAGCGGUGGGGGGUUCGGGGUUGGAAUAAAAGGACACGGCGAGGGAAGGGGGGAGGUGGGGUCGCCGGCCGCGAGGGGUCCGGGUUCCGUCCGUCACGCACGCGGCACGUGACGCGUGACCGGCGAGGGGGGGGCGGCAUCGGCAUGGCAUAUCUCGCUCGCUCUCGUGUGUCGUGGGUGACCGGAUUCGGAUCGGAGACGUGCCGCCGUUGGAUUGCGUUUGACCGGGUAACCGGCGAUUACUUUCGGGUUUCGGAGGGCGGGUGGGAUAAUGACAGCCAGCCAGGCACAGGCAAAGCAGAGCGCGGCGACAGGCGACAGCCGGAGACCGGACGGAAUACGGUGGCUGGCGCGGGGGUGGGAAAUUACCGCGUUGCCCCUACCCCGGGGAGCAGGCCGGGGCGGCACGCGGCAGGGGCAAGGCGGGGAUUUCGCGUGGGGCGGCGCGGUGUCAGGGGGUGAGCUGGUCGCCGUUGGUCGGUUUGCGUUUCGGGGCCGCCGAAAGAGGGGAGAGGAGAGAGAGAGAAACGCGCCGAGGAUGAUGGGGAAGGGAGAGGAGACUCGCGAACCGAAGACACCGCUGCUCCUCGCUCUGUACUCCAGUCUAGGCUUCUAGCUAGACUCGGCGCGGUGGAGUGGGUGGGUGAAGAGACUGAGGCGCGGGGCCCGCGUGCAAGCAGGCAGGGCGGGCAAUUAUUGUCGCCUCUGGUGCCGUCGCUCGGUACAGAGGACGGACGGACGGACGGCGUGGGCAAAAUUUAAUCGGCGUGCAGCAGGUGCCGGCUGCCGCCUGCAGGCGCCGGUCCUUCGGAUUGAUCGGUGGAUGGAUGCACUCGCCAAUGGCAAUUCAUCCAUCAAACAUCAUUCGUUACUGUAUAUUUUGUGGCAAAUCAAGAUUAGAGGUUCAUCAUCCGUUUACCGUUUUGGUUUGUCCCCUGGCGUCAUCAUCACCGUCUGGGCUUUGGAACUGACAAUAUGGUUCUUUCGGUGAAAUUCAGGUGAAAGUAAAACUCCACCGGUAGAUAGCAGCGGCCAUGGUGCCGUCGUGGGAACAGAGCAGUACGUACGUUACGGGCUCGCGUCAAAUCCUCGACGGAACCGUGCCCGCUGCACCGGUGGGUGAACAGAACACCAUAAAUCCCUCGCGGCCGUGGAGAGAAGUCAGGGGAACCGCGUGUACGUACGUGGUCCUCUCCUGCUAGCUAUAGCUAGGCUGCCCCGUGCGACCGGCGGCGAGGAAACGGCACGCUCGGGAGCCGUCAACAUUGAAUCGGAGGGCCGGGCGGCCGCGAUAGCGUAGCGACCAGCGAGAUACUCAGUCAGUACGGGCUACUUCGGGCUGUCACGCACGCACCGAGCCGGACGGCCGGGCCGACGCGUCGGGCUUGGGAACCACCGGCGCCGCAGGGGCGGGCUCGGACCGCGUCCAACGCCGCAGGCUUUGCAAAGCUUGCGUUGCGUGUACCCCACGCUACCACGCGGGUCCCCUCCACCAAUCAAUUCCAGGCCGGACGGACGGCCGGUACCGUGUACCGACGCGUCGCCCGCCGGAUCUCCGUGGCGUUUUCCUUUGCCUUUAGUUGUGUACCCGCCCCGCUUCACGCCGGCCUUGUGCGGCAGUUGUGUACACACACGCACGCACUUGUACUACUACUGGUGGCCUUGGACUUUGCUGGUUGCUGGUGCGCACCCAGCUUUUUGCGAACGGUUCCGGGAAACGCCGGCGGAAACUUGUGCGGCGGGUCGGUCGGUUGCCGGGGAAGGAAGGAUUCUUCACACAAGCAACGUGAGAUCUGACCAAGGGGAGCAGCAGCCAGCCAGCACGAGCAGCAGUUCGGCGCUGGAGCUACGCGCGAGCUGGGGCAGGAGCUACACGCCAUGUACGUUGCGUCCCCGGGCCGGUUUGAUUUACGACCGGAAGAGCCGCAGCGUUUCCGGCGCGAUGACCGGACAAAUUAGCCGGCUUGGCCGAUGGCUAUACUAUAUCGGAUUGGACAUAUGGAGUGAUAGUGCUCCCGACAGGUAGGAGACGGACGGACGAGAGCGAGUAAACUGCUGCCUGCGACUCUGCGAGUCCUGCCGUGCACGGCUCCAUGGACGGACCGCACGUCCAUGGCCUGUGUAGCUCCGACCGCACCGGACGCAGGCAAGCGGGACGUGCUGUUCAUCCUGCAGACGGGACUGACCCAAGUUAUUGGAGACGCGUCGGCAUUGAAGCCUUUUCCAUUCUCAGGAGCAUGACGUAAUCACGGGAUCACGCACGGCGUGGGCAAAAGAUUACCAGCCGCGCCGCGCGUGCCUGACUGCCUGUGCAGCUGUGCUAUUUUGAGUGCAGAAUACAGUUCUUCAGAACCGCGCCUGUUUUUUGAGGCUAACUGAACAUGCAGUUCCAUACAAUUUCAAAACUCUACGUAUAAUACGGAAGGGUAAAAGAUACUGAGGCGGUCGAGACCACUGUCGCGACACGCGAAGCCUGAAAUCGUAGCGGAUUUACUUUUUCUUUCUCUCGGGGCAACGUCCAGCAACAGCAAGUGACUGCUUGCCGGUUCAUCUGGCCGGACUGAAGGUGCAGAACUAUCUGCUUCCAUGACCAUGUCAUCUUACUGAACUGAUGUUGAUGUUGAUCGAACGGAAACUUGGUAUUAGUGCAAUUUGCAUUUGGUAGACGGGGGGUGGGAUGAAGAAGCUGCAGCGCAUUGGUCAGGGCAGCAGAUGGAAAACGCUGGAGACGGAGGUCAAAGAAGACGCGCGUAAAGGAACCGGUCAGAACAGUGACUUCCUUACUGGAUUUAGGUGACAGGCUGAAAAUUGUUUAUACUUUGGCACGUUGCCUGGGACACAGCAGUGGACAAGUUCGGUUCGGAGAAUUCUAUCCUCCAGUCAUGUUCCUUCUCGGUGAUUAACUAUCAGCUCAUCUGCCAAUCACAUGUUCUGUGGUGACAGCAGCCAGCAAAAAUAACCGAACGGAUUAGUGAUCGCCUAGAUUAUGUAGCUCAAUUUGCAUGCGUAGUUUCAAACGGUAUAAAACGAUGCCUUCGAAGAAAUGGGAGUAGUAAAAAACAUGUGGACUCGAUUUGGGCCGGGCCGCGAUAUCUUCGGUUCUCCACCCUCUUACGCGCAGCGUUUCUUCUCAGUGUCUGCUCAUCACUUGCGUUAGCUUGUAUUGUUUGCCUUCGCUUAAUAUUAGUGCCAUGUUAUCAUGGCUCCAUCGCCCAGUCGAACGCCGGCUAUCAGUUCAAAUUAUGGAUAGUCUAUUGGCUUUGAAUAAUGCGUGUCCUUGCUCUGAUUCCGUUGAGUGUCAUUCCAAGAGUAGGUAUCUAUCAGAAGAAUUUUCAGCAAAUGUCAGUGCUGCUUGAAGUCAACGAGUACUAAUCACAACAUGUGUGAACAUUUGCCAUCCUCCUGCGGUGCACUCUGACCUGCAUUGGAGAGCUGUAUUGCAGCCUGAAGGUCUUCUUCUCUAUUCUACUUCUACAUAUCUACCCACGUGUAUAUGCAGUAUCCUCCGAUGGUUUAGCCCAUGGGCAAUGCAGUUGUCUGCUUCAAUUCUUGGUGUUUCAGAACUAGUAGUACUACUAGAUAUGAUCAGUAUGCUGGGGACAGGACAGUAUGAAUGUACGAUAGAUAAGGUCCUAGAACAUGGGCCACAGGUUAUGCAGAUCGCAGACACGAGUGUUUGGCUGGAACUGAUCUCCGAAUGCGAGACUCCGAGAAACGUUGAUGCCGCUUUCUGUCGAUCACCUUGAGCCAUUGUCCGUCUGCUGGCCUGGCAGGGAAAGUCUACGGAAUGCCAUCUCGAAAGCCAUGGAAAUUCUGUUUUGCCUGACAGAACUCUGGCGUACAUGAGCAACAGCGACCGGAGCGUGGUUUGCCUGCGUGCUUGACUGUAUGGUCACGACGAACACGAGGUGGCGACCAUCCGCCGCGUUAUCCAGGACUGCACCCGUCAGAGAAGGAUCCUUCACUUUUUGGGAAUCCAAUCACUUCGGGAUCCAUCAGAGCAGAAGACACGGCCAUUUCGCCGGCGGCUUUCCCCAUACAGUGCACAUCUCGUGAACUUCCGUCCAUAUUUUCUGGCCAAAUUUGCAAAGGAUUUGUGCUUUUCAGAGUGCAGCAAACGUAGCAAUACCAGGAAACUACGGAGUAGAAUAGGAAGGAACGUACGCCUGUUUGUUCGGGCGGCAAAGUCAGAGCGACACUCUCUCUACUUUGUUUGUUCGUCAGGCCAGGACGCCCGCCAAACCCGACAUGGAUAACUCCAUUAUUGACGAUGGAAAGUAGAAAUCUGACCCCGGGGGCACUAGCAGACGACACUAUCCACAUUGUCUUCACACACCGAGAAUAUGACAAAAUAACAUGCAUUCUUAAUUCACCUAUCGUCCCCAGUACACACCAUCAGAAAACAUCUUCGAUCUUCUAAGGCGUGGAUGCAUUAGGGGUGCGUAUAAAAAUAAUCAUACUCCUUCCGAUACAUAAAAAGUUUCCCACAUUUAGUACAAAAUAUGUACUCCCUCCGUCGAACAAAGGAUGUUUCAACUUUGAUUAAAUUUGAAUGCAUCUAUACACUAAGUCAUGUCUAGAUACAUUUAAAUUUUGACAAACUUGAGACAUCUUUUGUUGGACGGAGGGAGUACUAAUUUUAGUACAAAAUGUGUGACACUUUUUAUGAAUGGGGGGAGUAUCUCCUAGACUCUUUUGAUUCAAAUGAGUUAAUCCUUCAGAAUUUUUUCUAUGUAGGCUUAUUUCAUUCGUAGGAUUAGAUUUUAGUGGAAAUUUGCCUAUGGUUCACUUUGCACUGCAGUGAUGCAAACCAGAUUCCGCGAAAACCCACUUCUAGUUCAUUUUUCAAAUCUUCAAUUCAAAUUUUGAGCAAAAAUUUGGAUAAAAGACUUGAGAAUUGAACUAAAAGUUGACCAUCAAUGGGAUCCCGUUUGCAUCUCUACUGCUCUCAAUUCCAAAGUAAAUUUUCCAUCUAAAUCUAAUCACUUGAAAAAAUUCCUUUGUUUCCAUGAUAACUAUACCAAUGCACGUAAUGUUUUUCUCUGUUUUUCCUCUAAUGCUAGAUUGAGUCUGUUUUUCCUUUAAUGUUUUUCCAACUCGAUUAGUUUAUUCAGGUGGUUUCUUCCUGUAGAAAACAACAUAUCAUGACAUUUCAAUCUUGUGUUUGCUAUUUCAGGGCUCAUUCACUCUACAUGCGUUUUAGAUGAUUUUUCUACAAGAUUUCAACUCUUACACCUUGUUUGGCACAUGUGGGUUUCUUACGUUUUCUAUUUCUACUCUACAAUCUUAAAAUCAUGUUCUCCUUCUGACCUUUGUUCUCAAAUUUAUCUAAAUACGGAUGUAUCUAUGUUUAAAAAAUGUCUAUAUAUAUUUAUAAUAUUUCAGUAACUAAUAUGAAUCGGAGCAACUAACUCGAACGAGCCCUCGGUGUUUGAAUAUUUAAAUACUCCUGAAUGCAAGUAUAGUUCUGCACUCCUACUGCAGCUUGCUACCACGAAACUAAACAUUUCUCUUUCUGCAGCCCCCGACUCGAUCUAGCCGCAGUCCAUGUCGUUCUUUUCGCCCUGGCGUGUGCAAGAGUCGAACCCAUAGUGUGAACAAUUGAGUUAGGCACGAGCCGGAGAGGAGGAGAAAGGACAAAUUAUUGCUCAGAUUAAUCAUCACCUCGAUCGUUGCGGCGCAAUACCGUUAUAUAACGACGGAAUACGGGCCCACACGUCAGUGUAAAGCGAGCUGCUUGCCGCUUUCUCCCUCUUGCGUGACGCCGUCGCCGUCCAGAGCCAUCUGGCCACCGGGCUCCCAGCCCCCCACAGAUGUGCCCCCUGCAUGCGCGCCAUGUAUCAGCCUCUGAUACGUCAGGCCAGGAACCAUCCUCAGCCGUCAGUUCGUCCAUCUCGACGGCUGCGAUCGCGCUGCCGCCACUUAUAAAUAGCACCGAUGCACGCGCGAGAAAGUCCGUUUUACCUUGCUGGGGGGGGGGGGUUUUACUUACAUGAGCGCGGGAAUGGAGGCGGAGCUGGAGGCGGCUCAGCGGCGCUUCCGGCUCUGGUUCCGCGGGCUGCGUUCCCUGCGGCGGGACCUCCGGUCGGCCCGCUGGGCCGGCGACGACCCGGCCCAGCUGGGGAAGCUGGCGGGCGGCUUCGUGGCCCACUUCUCCGACUACUGCGCCGCGCGGGCCGAGCUGGACCCGGUCCUGCUGCUGUCGGCGCCCUGGGCGAGCCCCGCGGAGCGUGGCGCCGCCUACUGGCUGGCCGGGUGGCGGCCGACCACGGUGGUCCACCUGCUGUACACCGAGUCCAGCCGCCGGUUCGAGGCGCAGCUCCCUGACCUGCUCCUGGGCGUGCGGUCGGGCAACCUGGGCGACCUCAGCCCGGCCCAGCUGGCCCAGAUCGACGAGCUCCAGCGCCGCGCCGUCGCCGAGGAAGACGCGCUCUCAAGGGAGAUGGCGCGGCUGCAGGAGGGCCACGGCGUCGUUGGCGGAGACGGGGAUCUGGACGUGGAGGGGAUCGUGAGGCGCGCCGGGGCCGUGGUGGCAGGGGCCGACGCGCUGCGGCUGCGCACCUUGAAGCGCGCCGUGGAGAUCCUCGAGCCGGCGCAGGCCGCCGAGCUGCUCGUCGCCAUGGCCGACAUGGAGAUCGGCUUCCGGGAGUUCGGGCUAAAGCACGGCGACGGCGGUGGCGAGCCGAGCCGCGGCGCGUAGGCAUAGGCGUGGCGCGGUCCAGAGAGCAGAUCCUCAUCCGCAUCGGCGGCUCGGCCCAGUUUUUUUCUUCCAAGUGUUUGCGCUGGUUUGACUGGGACAGAAAGACUGCUCACUGUUGUAAUCUUGUUGCCGUGACGAUUGUCUUUGCCGAACUGUCUCGCGGUGGGUGCUGCGUCGUAGCUGGACCGUGUGCGUGUGCGUGUGCGUGCGCGUGCGCCUGCUGGGAUGUCGUGUGAGAAAGCAAUAAAAUGCAAGGAAUGCAUGCUUGGUUUCGUUGAGAAGUCAUAUUUUGUUUUCGAGCAAGCGGUUUUUUUAACAUCUUUUCCGAUAAAUUGGCUGUUUGUCUGUUCACUACAGAAGACCCGUCCUUUUAAAAACGGUUUUGCUAUUAAUAAAUCCAUGUUUUAGUUAGAGUAGUCAUAGGAUUUUAAUCCAAUGAUAGCAAGUGAGAGAUGAGAGAACGAGGAUGACUCUCAGAUCUCCAGCAGUUAUGAAACGUCGACUGAUAUUUAAGGUUCAUUUUUUAAAAACUUGCGACUUAGAAAUAGCCAUACCCAUUUAAAAAACGUGUUAAAUCUUAUUAAAAUAAGAUUCUGAUCGAUAACUUAUUUUUAAUAGGUAUUGCUACGGAAAAGUUGUUUUUCUAGUUAAAGAUAAGUUGAAACACCAACUGUCAUAUCUUGAUCCAACGGCGGCACAUUGAAGAUGGGGUGUAGCUGCUAGCUUCGGCAUUGAAGAUGGCGUCAUGGUAGGGAGAAGCUAUCAAGUUAUCCGAGAUAGAGGAGGCACUGAUGGAACACAUCCGCUUGCUAGGCUUGUAAUCGGACAAAUAAUUCAAACAGCUUUGCUAUUCAUAAGACAAUUGAGAAAUAAUUAUUUUCAAGCCGACGCUAACAAUCGUUUAAUCCAAUCUCUGAUAUGUGUGAGAUCUAUACAAGUGUUGUUGACUGAAAAUAACUGCUUCCUCCGCGCCUGGAUACUCGUCGUGGUCCGGAAAUCCAACCAGUUGUUCGUUCGAGCCAGAUCCAAACGACACCGGACAGACAACCACGGGCGGUUCUACCGUGCCGCACGGUCACGCGCCCAAUUAACCGGCCACACGGCCAAGCGAAUCCAGGAUUAAAAAUAGGAAUCGCGUACAAUUACCGGCCACCCAGCCAGGCAGCCCGCAACGAUAAACCAGCAGUCUCCCGCUCCAUGUUUGGGAGCCAUGCCCAACUACAAACCCAACGUUUCCAAGCUGGCCGCCGCGCCCCGCGACAUCCACACGGCAGAUUAACCCUUCUUCUCCUUUCCUUCCUUCCUCCCUCUCCGCGCGCGCGCGACCUCCCGCAGACCCGCCUCCGCGAAUCUAGCCACCCCCGCGCGUGCGCCACGCACCGUCCGUCCGUCGGACCUCGGCCGGGCCGGCCCGCGGUCGUCGGCGCGCGGAGGGCGUUCGUGAGAAUGCGUGCGGCGGCGAUUGGUUGCUAGCUAGCUAGCGGCAUGCCUGGCAUGAGCGCGUGAUGGCGCCGCCGUUCCUGAAGACCGGGCACGGCCGCGACAGGUUCUCCUUCAGGCGGCGGAAAUCGUCCUCCUCCUCGUCCUCCUCGUCGACGCCGUCUUCUCCGCUCUCGGUGUCGUCCACAGCGUCGGAGGACAUCGCCGACCCGGGCAGCCCCAUGGAGUCGUCAGCGACGACGGGCAAGACGCUGCCCUGCGCCCGGCGGGCGCUCUCGCGGAGCAGCUGCGGGUCCAGGGGCAAGCUGUCCGUCGACCUGAUCCCGCCGCCGCUCGCCGGCGGCCCGUCCGACGCGCCCAGGUCCUCCACCUCCGCCGCGCCGCCCCCCAAGCCUCCCCCCCGCAACGAGGGCCCGCCUUCAGGUCUCACCAUUGUUAAUUUUCUAGUGUCUGUCUGACUUUCUGUCGUCAAAUGCAGAGAAAUGCCUUGUUAUGUUUUCGUGAUCGAUUGCAUGUAUCCAGAUGCUGACAUCGUGAGGGACAAGUUCUCCAAGCUGCUGCUGGGGGAGGACAUGUCCGGCACCGGCAAAGGGGUGUCCUCUGCCCUCGCUCUCUCCAACGCCAUCACCAAUCUUGCAGGUAAUCUCUCCCUUACCUUCCAUUUCCGAUCUUUCCAUUUCCAAUAACAGUCCCUGUCUUUCAAAUCUUCCCAUUCUGUCCGUUGGGUUCUGAUGGAUACUGACACGAUCAGCUAUGAUUUCUUUCUCAUGACGUGGCACAUUGCAGCUUCCGUGUUCGGUGAGCAGCGGCGUCUCCAGCCGAUGGCCGCAGAGCCGAAGGCCCGAUGGACAAAAGAAAUUGACUGGCUUCUGUCCGUUGCCGACCACAUCGUCGAAUUCGUUCCUUCACGUCAGGUGUCCGAGGAUGGCUCCACCAUGGAGGUCAGAAACAAGAGGAUCCUUGCUUAUCACAAGUACCUGGAUGUAGUUCUGUAUCACGGAACAUCUUUAUGCAAAUCCAAUUACAGCGGUGCUAUUUUUCUCUCUCUCCCCCCAAACAGAUAAUGAUGACUCAGCAGCGUAAGGAUCUGCAGAUGAACAUCCCCGCACUGCGCAAGCUCGACGGGAUGCUCCUUGUAAAGCUCUGCCACAUUCUUCUUUGAAAUCAUUUACGAGAAUGACAUGCGUGGAGAUACCUGAUGAAUUGCUAAUAUGCUAUGGCUGCACAUUUCCUGUUGUGGGGGCACAGAGCUAUCUUGACAGCUUCAGGGACAAGCAGGAGUUUUGGUACGUGUCGAAAGACGCAGAUGACUCGGAGAAGGGAGACGCGCCGAAGCAGGAUGACAAGUGGUGGCUCCCGACUGUCAGGGUCCCUCCUAAUGGUCUGUCGGACUCGUCGAGGAGGUGGCUUCUACACCAGAGGGAGCUCGUCGGCCAAGUCCAUAAGGCAACAAUGGCCAUCAAUGCUAAUGUUCUUAUGGAGAUGGAUGUUCCAGAAGCCUAUAUGGAGUCUCUGCCUAAGGUGACCCAUAUGAACACAGCAACAUUGCAUAACAUUUUUCUUUACUUCGGUUCACUGCAUUUAGAGGGAUCGAGACUCACUUUGACAGCAUCUUCUUUUUUUAUGCUUGAUAGAAUGGAAAGUCUAGCCUUGGAGACUCAAUGUACAAGCUUAUAACUGACGAAUAUUUUGACCCAGAAGAACUCAUAGCAUCAGUAGACUUGUCAGCCGAGUACAGCAUCGUUGAUCUGAAGAACCGAAUCGAAGCCUCGAUUGUCAUUUGGCAGAAGAAAAUGACGCAGAAGGAUGCCAAGAUGUGGGGGCAUGGUGUCAGUCAUGAGAAGCGGGGACGGUUUGAGGGGAGGGCGGAGAAUGUUCUUCUCCUCCUUAAGCACAGAUUCCCCGGAAUUUCUCAGUCAGCUCUGGACAUAAGCAAAAUCCAGUACAACAGGGUACUGGCAACCAUCUUCAAUUUUCCACUGUAUUUUCGGAUUUCCUACAGUACUUUAUUACUCAUGCUCAUUGCAUACAUUUUCUCGUUGUGAUUUUUUUGCAGGAUGUUGGCAGUGCCAUUUUGGAGAGCUACUCCAGGACUCUUGAGAGUCUAGCAUACACGGUUAUGUCUCGCAUCGAAGACGUUCUUCGCGCCGACUCCCUUGCUCAAGACCCCAAGAACGCGGAGGCGACGAGAAUGCCGAGCUUAUCAUCAGAUGACACAGACACGGUCGUCCAAGAUGCCAAGGACGAGGUGGAGAGGCUGGGAAGAAUGGAGCCUCUGAACUCGACACUAUUCGACUACGUGGGCCCACGGGACGGAGAUAUCGGGCCCAUGAUGUCGGAUUCACAGGAACCUCGGGGUGCAAAGCUGUCAAAGGUUUCGUCGAUCGCAACCAAGAGGUUCUCCUACCUAGAUAAGCUUGAGAAUUUGGGUGGAACAAGGAGCCCCAUAUCUAGACACUAGUCGCUGCCGUAGGGGAAAAGACGAUCAAUAUGGUGUUGAUGUUGCUGCAGAGACUCCGGGGAAAACUGCACGUAAAUAGCUCCGCAAAAACUGAGGGUGCAGCAUGCAUUGUGAGGUUUAUGUAAGCUUUCAAGCUUUCAGGCACCAAUACCUCCAAUUUGGUGCAGUUGCCAAGACAAUGUGAUGACGAUUCUCCUGCUAAAUUUACAUGAAAUAACCACAAGAUUCUGACACUGGACCUGAAAAUGGACCUCCAGAUUUUCUUACUGUACUUCUGUAGCAAAGUUUUGUGGUUCCAGUAAAGUGUUUGUUAUCUUAGACUUGACUUGCAGACCAUGCUUGGGUUCGGCUAGUGUUCUCCCCACGUACAAUUUAAGAGGGUAAUAACAUAUCACUGAACUUGGAGAUCGAUCUGUGUUAGCUUCUGGCGUUCUAGAUCGGCACUGUAAUAAGUAACUGUAACUGUACCAUGGCUCUAUGCAUUGGGAAAUUAAAACCACUCGUAUGAGUAAAUCAAUUUACAGGAACAAAUGAGCAGUAAAAAGCAUCCUUCCGGUUGCUGAUAGUACGUGCAGCUAGGCACGCCAUAUGAGUACAUACAACGAAGGACUUAACGUCCAGAUACGCAGAUCCAUGGUACACAAGCACAGGCAUAUGCAGGAACAGAUUCAGAGAGAGAGAGAGAGAGAAAGAAACUGAAACCAAAGCUUUAAUCAAAUCAGAUCAGAUCUUGCCGCGUGGGCCGGGGGUGGGGGGAAGCUGCGGCCCCUUCUUGAUGGGCAGCAGGUCCGGCGACGUGGUGGCGCCGAGGUAGGCGAUCAGGGACCCGCCGCCGAGGAGCAGGAACUUGAGCAGCAGGCCGCGCUUGGUGAAUGGCGCCGCGAAGGUCUGGAAGAACUUGCUCUGCAGCCCGUUGUAAGGGGACGGCGCGUCGGACCCGUACAGGUCCCACUGCCCCGUCGUGUUGCCGAUGUCGUCCAGGUCGAAGUACACGCUCUUCUCCCCGUACUUCGCCUGCACCGCGACGCCUCGUGCAGGCCUGCAGGCGUACGCGCACGCGUAUAUAUACGGUUAUUUAUACGUAUGUACAUACGCUCGAUCGAUGACAUAUUAGCUCGCUUCACGUGCGUACCUGCGGGUGGAGCGGCAGAGGGAGGACGGCCGGGCGGUGGCGGCGAGCUUGCGGCCGGACAUGGAACUGCCGGCCAGGCCCUUCACGGCGGCCGACGGCUGGACGGCGACGAGCGACACCAUUGUUGUAACAGUGGGAUGUGUUCUGAGCUUCUUUUUCUUUUUUUUUUUGCUGCGGGUUACGUGCGCGAACUUGAUCCAGUGCUGGGGAUAUUUGGAAGGUGUGCUGCUGCGGGGCUGAUCAGGUUUGGGUGGGAGAGGCUUGGCGGGGAUGGGCGAGGCCCCCAUUGGGAGCGCGCCACGCGGCAGGGUUCCGGAUAGGCUUAUCCUGAUCGCUUGAUUCUUGGGAGGGAUGACAUGGCGCGGCCAACGUGGCACCGGAGCUUGCGUGGGGUUGUCCAGCUGGGAACGGGCGUCGGAAAAGAUCUCACCAGAUGUCCCCGACGGCAUCGAUCGAUCGAUCACGGUCUCACUGAGAUAUGGUGGGCCGGUGGGCCCAGAAGCCCUCUAGCUAGGUGCUAGGACAGUGCACGUAACGUACUCCGUAUUGAUCAUUGAAGGAAAGUAAAGAGAGAUAGGUAGAGAAGGACGUCCACGUACUCCGUUGCAUUUUGCAAAUGUUGCACGUACGUACGUAUCAGCACCAGGAUACAUAUGCAACGUGGGCAGGCAGAGUACGUAUAUUGUAGUGUAACGUAUUGCUAGUCGAUCUUAAGCACCUUCCGCUUGGCCGGGGAUACUAAUUAACCGGUAAAUACGGCGGAAGGGAUGUGUACAGGCGCGAUAUAUACAGUGGAUCCAGAUCUGAGAUCGAUCUAGCUGAGCCUUGCGUACGUGCUAUAUACACAUCCUCAUCCGCGAUGGGCAAGCGCAUGCAUGCAGGGUACGCUUCUACGACAAUGGAGCAGCAAAGGAAUUGACGCUACGCUACGUACAGCGAAUCGAUCAUGCACGGAUUUGCGAAUCGAUAUCUUCACGAUGCAUGGCCACAGGCAGGAUGGCGCACAAGUGUGCUGGGAGCGAGAAGACGCGACUAAAAAAAUAUGUGAAUGCGAUGAGCCGGGCCAGGCUGCCAGCUUUAAGCCCAGAUCCAGAGCGACAAGCAAGCCGUUGUUGCACGCCCAACACUACCAACAUGGACCCGCUUUUUUUCGGCGGGCCUGAAUCCACCGUCUAUACUGAUGCCCUCUGGCCCAAACGAGAAAAGAAAUACCAUACAGUACGGCCGUUUGUUUUUUGUGGGUAUACUGUACACAGGUUGGCGCGGCUAACGAAGAUGCGAGGGCACAGGGAGGCGCACCUUCCUCGGUUCAGUUCAGUUCAGUUCAGGCCGAGAUCCACCGAUCCGCGCGCGCACAGCGCACCGGUGAGAAAGCCAGCACCGACGACGCGGCGCCCCCACGCCACCAGCCAGCCACCGGCCAAACGCACUAACCAAAACCUCGCCGUCGUCGUGCGCUCCCGCCGAACCCCACCCUAGUUCUCUCCCUACUACAUCUCCACGGCGGGAGCUUUGCGCAGCUCUCCCCCGCUCCCCGUGCCACACUCGCUCCUGCACCUCCCGCUCCCCGUCUCCCUUCCCGGCCUGGGGCGUCGGUCCCCAAUUCGGGUCGGGGGGCGCCGAGGUCGCGAGGCGGAUCAGGAUCUGAUCCCGCGCGGCCGGAGCGGGAGCGGUGGGUCGGUCGAUUGGGCGGCGCCGGGAUCAGAUCUAUGCGCGAGAUCUAGCCGGGCGUGCGGGCGGCUGCUGGUGAUCGGAGCCGGACCCGGAGGGGAGUGAGGGAUGGCGUGGUGGUCGGGGAAGGUGUCGCUGGGCGGGCUGCAGGACAUCGCCGGCGCCGUGAACAAGAUCAGCGAGAGCGUGAAGAACAUCGAGAAGAACUUCGACAGCGCGCUCGGCCUCGAGGAGAAGCGCGACGACGAGGAAGGUAUGCGCCACUCAUGCUAAAGCCGCCCCCCCCCGACCCGACCCCUUUCCUCCCGUGUAGCCGCCUAGCCGGGCAGCAUUGGUGCAUGCUUGGCUGCGUGCAAGUGUCGAUUGGGAACUGCGAUGGGAUUUUUUUGGUUGAAUACUGCACUGGGUCAUGGGAUUGUCACUGGCGGUAAUGCUGUUUGUAGCGUUGUUCAUGCGAUGAUUGGUUAGUUAGCUAUCGAUAGUGUAUACUGACUGAUGUGAUUGUAGGAAGCAGAAGUUUGAAUUCAGGUCAUCGCUGGUUCCAUUGCUCUCGCAGCUUCUUAUGUAGAUAGAUUAUUGCUUAAGUCUCGGACUCUGUAAAUUGGUCAAGCAAAACCCCAGUCCCUAAGUUUCGUAUUUAUCAGCUGCUGCAUUAUUGAUCAUUGAUUGGUCUAGCCAGAUCAUAAAAACUUAUACAUACUUCUUAGUAGCGUUGGCAUUACAACAGAUUUUGUAUUGCUCUUUCCUUUUGAGAAGUAAUGGAACUUGGAGGCAGUGAAUUCAUGCCUAUUCUCAUAACUUUUUUCCAAUAGUUUUUGUUCUGAGUAGCAUCGCUAGGAUGAGCAUAUUUGGAGAAUAUAUAGCUUCUAAUUGUUCAUUUACAUGGCUAACGUGAGACCCAAAAAAUGUGUUUUUGGGUGAUCCAGGAUCAGGAUCACGUACAUCCAACUCUGAUGGAAUAGGAUUCUUUAAUCCUGUCAUGGCAUUUAUGGGACAAAAUGGUGAGGAGAACUCUACGGAAGUAUCAGAAAAGCAACAAUUGCCAAUACAUUCGUCAGCAGAAGAAGAAAAUCAUAGGGUCACCACCGAGCCAGCUACAUCUGAAGCAGAUGCUUCUGAAGUAUCAGUAACAACCCAAUCUCCAAAGCAGCUUCCAAAAUUAGAAGAGAAUGUCAGCAGCUCCACUGAGCUACCUGUAUCUAAGGUGGAUGUUCCUGACCAAUCUGUAACACCGCAAGCUCCAACACAUCCUUCAGCAUUAGAAGAAAAUAAUGGUGGCUCCACUGAGUCACCUACAUCUAAGGGGGCAACUUCUGAAGUAUCAGAGACACCGCAGUCCCCGAUACAUCCAUCUAUAGCCGAAGAAAAUUCUAGUGGCUCCAUUGAAACUAGUAACUCAGUUGAGAGGGAAAAUCAGGGUCACGAAGGUAAUGAAUAUUCUGAUCCCAAUGACGAAGCUUUACCGAGCCAGCUUGGAGUGUCCGGCAGGGACAUACCUGGUGGUGGAACAUCUUCACCUAAUAAAUUAGAUCAAUCAAGUGUUAUUGGAGCAGAAGAAUCUAUUCAUGAUGGAAAGGAUGACACAAAUGGUAACCAGUCACAGCCAGCAGAUUCCACGGUAGCCAGUUCAGAUGAUGUAAAUGAAGGCAAUAAGAUUGGUCAAGAAUUUGAUGCCCAAAAGGAAAUAAUCAGCCCACAUGAGAGCAAUGUUAUCGAUGACAAAGCCAGUCAUGUGGAAGUCAAGUUACAUGACGACGCUGCUGAGAAUGAAGAAGAAAACAGUCAAACAGAAGCACAUGCAGUAUCUGUUGUUGAAAAUGUGGAUAAUACAGUGUUGCAACUUGAAAACCCUACCUCAAAGUCGAUAACUAUGGAUGAUGAUUCAGACUCGCAAAAUGAGUUAGCACCCGCUUCUGUACAUGUUCCUGUUGGUCUUGUAGAAGUUGGUUCUCAUGCAAAUGAUUUGAGAAAAGAAGAAAAGAUUCAUGACUCUGUAACAACCAUAAAUUCUCGAGAAUCUGUUGGUUCUGUUGUUGAACUAGAGAAACUAAGACGUGAAAUGAAGAUGAUGGAUGCUGCAUUGCAAGGUGCUGCAAGGCAGUCCCAGGUAUCAUUUCCAAAAUCCACAUGCUCUAGCAUCUACUGUAGCAAUUAAGUUAGUAACAUGUUUGGUUGAGGAACUAGACAGUGAGUAUAUCAUCCGAUUCUAGCCCACUUGUUUGGGUUGAGGAAUAGACUCGGUUAGUCCAACACCACUUCAUCCUUCAUAUGCAUGAGAUUGGCACUAAUGGGAAUUGAGUCAUCCCACCAAUUUGAUUGAUCAUCCCAUGUUGAGGCAACUCAUCUUGGAUUGAGGCAAUCCCUCGAACUAAAUACCCCCUUGAUGCAUGUGUGGUUGAACUUGUACAUUAUGAAAGUUACUCCUGGAUGAUUCAACUUGGAAGCAAACCUUUAGUGCAAUCUGUUUGAACCAAUGAGUGCUUGCUAAAUUGUCUGUAUAUGUACCUUUUUAUUCAGUCUGAAUCUAGUUUACCCGUGAUGUGGAUUCAUCUCAUAUUUUCCUUUUUUUGGGGUGUCAUGCUUUACGGAAAAAAACAUAAAAUAUGUACAGUUAUCUAAUAUUUCAAAGUGCUUUGUAGUGUCAGAAAGGAGCAUAUCAUGCAAUUAUCUUUCUUCUUUUCUGAGUAUUAUAUUCUGAUGCACCGAGCCGGUCAUGAGGUAUUAUGUGCUUCAGAUGCGUUCUUAACAAUGAUCGUCAAAACAUUGUAUAAUUUGAAUGGCCUAUGGCCCCAUGUUAGUCAUUUCUUUGCAACAUACAUGACCCUUCACCACCUAUUUAGGUUCUAACAACACUUUAUUUUUCCUACAGUCCAAAGCUGAUGAAAUUGCUAGACUGAUGAAUGAAAAUGAGCAAUUGAAAUCAGCAAUUGAUGAGCUCAAGGUAUGUUUGCUAAGCAGAUUCCUUAUCUUUUGCCUUCUGGACAUAAACAUUUGGGAUGUCUUUCAGUUAAUUAACAAAAAAAGGAUGCCUUCGGUUUAGUAAUCACCACAAUUUUGAGUUGAAUUAUGUGAAAAUAAACAAGAUAAAUACUGAGUUGCUUGGCAGCUCCUUUAGCCUUUGAUGAGUGUUAUAAUAAAUUUUUUUACUGUACAGGGUAAGUCAGCUGAAGAAGAAAUGGAUGCUCUCAAGGAUGAAUAUCACCAAAGAGUAGCAACUCUUGAAAGGAAGGUGAGACACAUUACUUUUGUUACUCAGUGCUACUAUUGACAGUUGAUCAUUGCGUAUUGCAUACGGCAACCUGAUUUAGGACUAAUAAUCAUGGAGAACAGAUAGAUACAAGUGCGCUAAAUGCCGCUAAGACCAGAGGGUUGAUAAACAAUAUACGAUAUUACUCACAUACAAUAUUGUAAUUACUAAUUACAAUCUUCAUGCUUUUUGUGCGGUGGUAGGCCUGGUAAUGGGGCUAAGCCCGCACCGAAUCCAAACCACACCAUAACAUCUCACGUGUAUUUCCCAAUCGCAACCAAACCAGAAGUGAAAUUAGAAAACCCAAACCACACCGCACCGUACGACUUCUCCAUCCAAUCCGCACCAAACCAAUUCAGAAACCGCAGGCUCCGGCACCACGGUCAGGCUUCGAUGGAGAUAGGCGGAGGGAGGCAGAAGCGGGGAGAUUGAAGGGCGACCGGUGGCGGAGGGUGUUGGACCUUGGGGACACUGGCGACGUGCAGAUCGGGAGGAAAAUGAUGUUGGGGAGCAGAUUGGGAGGAAGACGAUGUGGGGGAGCCGGUUACAGUUUACGAAGAAGAGGAGGCAGGGGGCGCCGGCGGCGGAGCGCCGGAUCAGGCAAGGGCGGCUGGCGGUGGAACGCCGGAGCAGGCAGGCGACGACAUCGGGAGGAAAACGAUGUGGGGGAGCCGGUGACAGUUGACAAGGAGGAGGAGACAGGGGGCACCGGCGACGGAGCGCCGGAUUAGGCAAGGGCGUCUGGCGGCGGAACGCCGAAGCUGGCAGGUGGCGGCGAGCGCAACCCCGUCACCAUCACAAGGGGAAGUUGAGGCCGUGCCAUCAUGGUCUUUGUUAUUCCAAGUGGUGUUCAUGGGCUGAAACCAAGGUUGGAGACCACGGUCUGAGCCCAAUUCAGUUCUAGACCGGUCCAAACCAAACCGCACCAGUCCAAACCGCAUUUGUACUAAUACCAAACCAGCCCAGACCGAUUUUCUAUCCCAUCCAUUUGAAACCGCACUGUUUGAACCCGCAUGCAAAACCCGCACCAAAAAAACCGAACGAACCUGCACCAUUACCAGGCCUAUGCAGUGGCUCUAUUUUGUUAUUCUUUUUUUUUGCAUUCUUUGUUUUAAUGGUAAAAUAAUCAAAGAUUCUCUUCUGUGCUUUAAACUUUGAACUUUAUGUUAAUGGUAAAAUCAUGGUAAAAUAAUCAAGCUAUUUAGCUACACUUUGAACUUCUUUUUCCUGCAAUUCUUCUAUUGUUGAACCCUUUGACUAGCUGGGGCGCAAUUACAUUUAUUGCACUAUGGUUAAUUUUGUUUUUCUCUUAAUUCAGUUCAUCAAGAAAUUGAGUUGAUAUUUAAUACUAAAGUUGUGUUUAGAGUGAGGCAAUGAGCUGCAUUAGUAAGGUUCCUUAGAAUGCUAUUGUCAGAAUCUCAUAAUCCUCUAUGUCAUUUUUUGUCCCUUCCGGGUUCAUAACUUAUAUUGCCAGUGUCCUUGUUCAUAUAUACAAUUAAUCUUGUGCAUAGCACUGAAAUGUUUGUAAUGUGCAUGCCUCAAUGUGUGUAGGUUUAUGCACUAACCAAAGAACGAGACACAUUGAGGAGAGAGCAAAAUAAGAAAAGUGACGCGGCUGCUCUUUUGAAAGAGAAGGACGAAAUUAUCAGUCAGGUUAUGGCUGAAGGUAUGCAUAAUUGUGAUUUUUAUGCUUACUGAACAUAUUUUAACUAAUGUUAAGUCAAAAUAUGUUCUGUUGUAUUGUUGAAAACAAUAUGAAAUUGCCUUUUCUAUUAUUUAAAGACAUCCAGUGAACAUUCCAAAUAUUAAUGUUACCAUACGUUAUGUUGCACCGUGUCGAGCACCCUUUAUUGAUUAGAGUCAUUUCAAUCGUGACUUCAAUGAUCAUGCAUGAAUAUGUACAUAUUAGUAAGAUUAGAAAAAUAUGUAAUUGCCUCCAGAACAUGGAUAUAAGACCAUAAAAAUGACAUCACAAACUUUUAAACCACCUAUCACUUCUGUAUGGGCCUGUACUCUGCAGUUUAUCGUGUGAUAUUUGGAAGUUUUGUGUCUUUAAGCUAGCCUUGGUUGAGUGCCUUACUGCUUUGGUUGGAGCUGAAGUCCUUGGCUCUCUGCUGUAAGGCUCUGAUCUGGCUACCAAUGGUAGUUGUAGAUAACUAGGUAUUAGGCAUGCACAUUUUCUUUGUGAAAAGGGCCUAAUGCCCUAAUGUGUAAGUUUGCCGUUAUUCCUCCAUCCGCUGCUUUAGACCAUGUACAUACUAUAGCCCCCCAUGUGAUCAUGUUCACCUUUUUAGUAUGUUCUGGACCAUGAUUGGCAAUGACACUAACAUCUUGUUUUUACCAAUGGAACAGGCGAAGAGCUAUCCCGAAAACAAGCUGCUCAAGAAGCUACUAUACGGAAACUGAGGACGCAGGCAUGGGAUAUGACUCUAUAACCAUACUACUUCAUCAAAAUUAUAAAGUAGGUUUUACCAAAGUAAUCAAGUUUGCUUUCUUUUUUUUGGUUGAAGCUAGGUUCGUGAGCUUGAAGAAGAAAAACAGCGGAUGAACUCAAAGAUCCAGGUAAAAAGGAAAAUCAACUUUGUUUUAUUAAUGAAUGAAUAAAUAAAUUAAUUGACCCCAACUAAAUUAUUUUCUUAUCUGCUUUAAUAUCAUAAAGUAUUUUUCUUUGCUGUUUGCAUGAUUAAAAAAAUCAUUUCUGAAGCUAUUUUUUAUUGUUUGUUUAUUCCUAUUUGUUUUGUUCCAUUUGAACAGUAGUUUGCAUCACCCGUACAGCUUGUUUACAGUUUCAUGAGUUCGUUACAGUCAGACAUGCUUUUUUCUUUCUUACUUGGUUGAUGGGCAACUCUGAAAUAUUGCACUCAGAGAUUAUGGAGUUGAUCUUCAUCCUUUUUGUUUGCUCUCAGGCUUCAAGUGCAGUCACUAACUCAGCAAUUUUCUGACUUUACAGGUUGAGGAGACAAAGGUUGAGAGUAUUAAAAGAGACAAGGCAGCAACCGAGAAGUUGCUACAAGAAACAAUAGAAAGAAAUCAAUCUGAACUUGCAGCUCAGAAGGAGUUCUACACAAAUGCUCUUAGUGCAGCAAAAGAGGCUGAGGCAUUAGCUGAAGCAAGAGUCAACACUGAAGCCAAAGUUGAGCUUGAGAGCCGUUUGAGAGAAGCUGGUGAAAAAGAAAACAUGCUGAUUAACACAAUUGAUGAGUUGAGGAAUGCUCUCACCAGACAAGAACAGGAGGUAUGCUAUGAAAAUAUUCGUCUGCACCUGUGCAUCUGUAGUUCAACAUCCUCGGUACAAAUAGUGUGUAUAUUGUGCUGAUCUAACCAUAAUCUACAUUUGACUCCUGGAUAAAAACUUCAUCUGAUAAUUAUUGUUUUAGCUGCCCACUUUCGAUUCACUGAUUGCAAGUAUUUCUUUCGUGGCAUUUCAGGCAGCUUUCAGGGAAGAAAGGCUAAAAAGGGAUCAUGAUGAUCUUCAAAAGCGGUACCAAGUAAGCUCUUCUGUUUUAGCUGCUACUACAGAGUACUGUAGUCAUGGACCAAUUCUCAAUUUCUUUCAUUAUUUAAUACUUCAGGCCAGUGAACUUCGUUAUAAUGAACUGGUUACACAAGUUCCUGAGUCGACCAGGCCACUCCUAAGGCAAAUUGAAGCCAUGCAGGUAUGAGUGCUUGCUUUGGAUUUUCCUUGUGCUGUAAUUGUUUCGCUGUUCUUCUGUUAGUUGGUGUAUGCAUCCGAGUCUGUGAAUUGAGUUUUUCUGCUGUUGUAAGUUGGCUAAUCAGUUGUGUUUUAAUUUUAACAGGAGUCAGCUGCUCGAAGGGAAGAAGCUUGGACUGGUGUGGAGAGAACCUUAAACUCUCGCCUUCAGGUCAAUUCUGUUCUGAACUUUUGGUUUAACAGUGAUGUGCAGAAAAACAAUGGAGAAAACUAGAACUACAACAUGGACCUUAAAUUGUUAUAAAUGUGCAAUGAGCAGGGACAGCAGAACAAAAUGGACAUAAACUUUGACAUUAAGUCAUUAAUAACUGUUUUCUUGUAGUUAUUUAUGCCUCUGCAAAUGUACAGAUAAAGAGGAGUGGUUGGGUGCUAUCUAUCUUUAGUGCAGUCGGGCAGUGUCAGGAACACAAACAUAAAUAUUUCACUGACAUAGUUUUAUCUGUCCUACUCAAAUAUGCAGGAAGCAGAAGCAAAAGCUGCUGCCUCGGGAGAAAAGGAGCGGUCCAUAAAUGAGAGAUUGUCACAAAGUUUAUCACGCAUAACUGUUUUGGAGACCCAGGUUUGUGCAAUAAUUUCUUCUAAAAACAAAAACUUGUGACAUUAUUGUAAGUCAACCCGGGUUUUUGGCAACAAUUUGGGGCCUUUAGUAAGAAAAGUAUUUAUUUUGAAAUGAACUUUGUGUCUUGUGCAGAUUACAAUUCUUAGAACAGAGCAGACACAGCUGAGCCGAUCUCUUGAAAAAGAGAGGCAGAGAGCAUCUGAAAGUAGACAGGAGUACCUUGCAAUUAAGGAGGAGGCGGCAAUACAAGAAGGACGCGCCAAGCAACUUGAAGAAGAAAUAAAGGAGCUUAGAGCUAGGCACAAAAAGGAGUUGCAAGAAGCAGCAGAACACAGGGGGCUGCUUGAGACGGUAGUCAAUUUUCUCUGUGAAUCACUUCCUGAAAAGAACUGGAACUACAUGUAUACGGAGCAAUGUUUCUGCUGCCAAUUUCAUUGAUGAGACCUAGAAACACUUUGUUUAACAUAUGACAUAAAAUUUGAACUUUGGAGGCUAUCUUAUAGCAGGCCUAUUUUAGGAUCAACCGGUAUUUGUUUACUUCGUUGCUUUCCCUACGUGAAGAAAAUUAGUUUUAAAUGUCACUAAUCAUGUGCCUGCCAUUAGAUCUUCUAGUUCAUACAUUACCAACUUGGCAACAAUUUAAUGUGUCUAUUAAAUUCUUGCGUCAAUUGCAACUUCUGAAUUUCAGGACCUUGAAAGGGAAAAGGCUGCCAGAGCAGAACUUGAGAAAACAUCUUCCCGGGAGCCACCUAAAAUUCCGCUUCCAGAUCAAACAAGUAUGCUCUUUCUUGGCCUCUGAUUAGUUUCUGUAAGUUCAAUCCAGCUUUUCUUUUUUGUUGCCUUACCUGUGACUCUGUUGGUUUCCUCUUUGCUUUUCUUGAAGGAAAUGCUCCUGUCAGAAGGCUCUCUAGUGCUUUGAGUGUUGGCAGCCUGGAAGAAAGUCAUUUCCUUCAAGCAUCAUUGGACUUAUCAGAUAGUUCAUCAUUGGAGAGGAGAAUGUCAGCAGAAAAUAAUAUGUCAUACUAUCUGAGGAGCAUGACUCCAAGUGCUUUCGAGUCAGCACUCCGUCAAAAGGACGGAGAACUGGCUUCUUACAUGUCACGCUUGGUAUGUAUAUGUGCGGAUGCAUCCUUCUAAUAUUUCUCCUAAACUAUUUUAUUUUAUUUUCUUGCUAUAUAUAUAAAUUUGAUAUUACUUCUGGAAACUGACAUUUGCUGAUUAUUCAAGCUAUUAUUUCAUAAAGUAUAUUGGAGUAGAAAGCUAUUUUUAGCCGAUUUACACCUGAACUUGUGCAUUAUGGAUGUCUAAAAUAUUUCUAGUUAAGUUUAGCACUAGCUUGUGCAUACACACACUAUUUCACACUCCCUUUAAAAAUUGGUGAAACUAUAUCAAGUUGCUGGCAAACCCUGAGCCCAACUGUAUGUUGCCAUAUAGCGUUUUUUUUUGGCUGUUUUCAUGAGGUGCCUGGUUACCUAACUUAUAUCAUUCAGCAUCAUCUAGAAUGUAGUGGGCCAUUUACUCCCUGGACAUUGUAUCAAGCACUCAUCAGUCCCAUACUAGUUUUAAAACCCUACGGGUUAAUUACUACAAAUUCAUGUGUCAUUCUCAUAUAUCCUAAUUUGUGAAGAAGCAGGAGCGGUAGCUUGGAAUAGUUCCACGACUUGUGUUUUCAUAAGAUGUUUUACCUUUACAUGUUUUGCCCACUAGAAUGGCCUACACCAUUUGAAGCCAUCUAUGCUGGCAACGUUUCCGUAUCUGUUUCAUGUUCUAUCAAACAAUCUUCAGUCCCAUACUGGUUUUAAAAGCCUAUGUGUUAGCUACUACAAAUUUGUGUGUCAUUCUCGUAUAUCCUAAUUUCUGAUGAAGUGGAAGCAAUAGCUUGAAAUAGUUCUGUGACUUAUGUUUCCAAAAGGAUGUUUCUUUUAUCAUGACAUCAGGUCACCCUCAAAUGUUCAUCAUUUAGGUUAGGUUUAGGAUAUGAUAUGUUUGUACUACUUGUGCUACAGCCUUGAGAGCAUUGUCGUAGACUCCUUGGGUAUGCAAUUGUUCUAAUACUUCGGCCUUCAUGCUUUAGUACGCUAAUCUCUCUUGCAAUUGGCACUGAAUAAAUGUCACUUUUAUAUUACAGGCCUCAUUAGAAUCUAUUCGGAAUUCUCUGGCGGAGGAGUUGGUGAAACUGACAGAACAAGUAAAUCAUUGUGAACCAACUAGACUAUAAUUUCAUUAUAUAUGCGGGUGCUAAUUGAACUGGUUUCGUAUGCAGUGUGAAAAAUUGCGGACUGAAGCUGCUGCUCUGCCUGGCCUAAGGGCUGAACUGGAAGCACUGAAACAAAGACACUUUCAAGCUCUAGAACUUAUGGGUGAACGUGAUGAAGAGGUAUUUCUCACAUGCAGUGCAUCUCACCAUUACUCUCUGUGUUAUUGACUUGUACCACAAGAUACACCAACAAUAUAUAAUCCGUCAUUAUAUUUAGUCUCAUAUCAUAUGGAAAAGGGAGUCCUCUUCAUGAAUCAAAUUGUGGUAGCGAGCUUACAUAGUGGAAUCCUGUAAUUAACUUCACUAAUUAGUAACCUGGAAUUUCUACACUAAGUAGCUUGUAGUGACUUUUGGUGAUUGCAACCUAGCCCACAAACCCAGCUGUUUCAGUCAUAAAACCUGUAACUCGUCUGGUUUUAGAUUUGAUGUUGUUUUUCAAACUUUGGUUAUUGAAAUGUAAACAUCUAUUCGCUGUAAUUUGUUGAAAAUGAGGGUCUGUAUAGAAAUUGCCAUGGUAAAGGAAAACUAGAGGUGACCUGGUCUCAGUUUACGGGGUGGUUACUGGUUGCUAACCACCGGUUGGAACUGCCAUGAUGGCUGGGACUCUGGUUACAUUUUUAUGCACACUCUGUAGCUGCCGUAUAAGAUGGUCCUGAAAAAUGUUUUAGUAAAUUCAAUUAAUAUGACCUAUUACCAAUACUACUUUCUGUUAACAAUGGAAUGGACCCAUGCAUAAGCUUGACAAUGAACUAGUUGUCUGACAGUUGGCAUAAGCUGCCUAAUUUAACCUGUCCGUAUUAGUGUCUUCUCAAAGGGAUGUGAAUUCAAUGCGACAUUGUGUGUGCACGAUACACUUUCGGAUAUCUUUGUAUUAUUGUUCCGUAGACCCUUACCUUCUAUUUCUUUCAUACUUAUUAUGAAAAAAAAUCUGUGCUGUUUUGCAGUUAGAAGAGUUACGAAAUGAUAUUGUUGACCUAAAGGAUAUGUACAGAGAACAAGUGGAUCUUCUUGUUGGCCAGGUUUGAAGUAUAUUGAUUUAAAUUCUGCUUGUCAUUGCGGAACCCUGAAAUGUGUUGCCCUAAAACAUCAAUUUUCCUUUUAUCAGCUCCAGACAUUGGGCGCUCGUGUAUAGCAGUGAAUUUGACAUCCCAUUUAAUUUUUAAUGCACUGCAUCGACCGAGACCAAGAUAACAAUUUUGAAGCCUGAACAUGUUUCUUCAGAAUUCGAACUGAUGCGAGUGUGGGAAGUUCAUAAUCACACAACGAGUGAAGAUAUUAUUUGUGUACAUUUUGAAGCAUCUUUGUUGUUGAAUUUAGUAGGAUAGUUUGUUGUAUACUAGAUUGAAUAGCUUCACAGUUUUACGUUUACAGAAAUUGCAAAAAAAUAAUUUACUGAAGUGUACCAAAUUUGGAACCUACAAGUGUAUGUCGACGUCUCUAAUAAUAUGGAGAUCCUGUUUUGACAGCUUUGUCAGGUUUUCUGUCACUCUGUAAUCCAGGAUUACUUAGUUUGAUUUUUUGCUAGUUUGGAAAGACUAAAAUAUAUUAGAUUAAGACCGCGUAUUGUGAUGUUGCCGCAAAGAAAUGUAUCCAGCCUGGGGAAAAGCUUCAUUCCCAGGUGCACAAUAAGGGUUGUAAAUGCACAGGAAUAGGAAAAGCACGUGACUACAAUAUCAUGCCCCAAAUUGUAUAGGAUUGUGUUUAUGCCAACUUUUUUUUUAUAUAAGUGUUUACUCAAAAGUUUGUUUGAUUCGAUCAUAGUAAGAAAUUUCCAACAGGUUUGAUCAAUAGAAAAUUUCCUAUGAAAUGUGGUUCAAAGAAAUUCUAAGAAAAAUAUCUAUAAAUUCAAUCCUACAAAUCAAACAACAAAGAUAGCAAAAUUUCCUAAGGACUUGCAUUGAAAUAUUGGAGGAUUGGAAAAGUUCCUAAGGACUUGCAUUGAAAUAUUGGAGGAUUGGAAUACUUAGAUUUUUUUUUUCCGGUGGGUUGUUUGAUUUGAAAGUUGAGUCGGGUGGGAAAUCUUUCUUUAGGGUUCUUUUGCACUGUAUUUUAUAAAAAAAGAAAUCUUUUCAUUCAAACCUUUAGUGAAGAUUCAUUUGUUUUUCCUUGAUUCAAUCAAACACAACAUUGAUGUCACCACAAUCUUGUAUUCAAAUAGGCAUGGCAUUGCAAUCCUAUUUUUCAAAUCCUACGAAUCAAAGAGAACCUAUGGAACUUUACAAGAUUACGAUGUUAACAUAGAUUGGAGUUGCAAUGAAGGAUUUUAUGUGAGAACCUAGCUUUGCUGCGAAUUAAAUCUCAAACACUAGAUUUUACGAGAGAACCCAACUUCGUAGCGGAUCAAAUGUCAAAACGCCGCCAAAGAGACGGUAUGUUUGAUACCACUCAGUCAGAUCCUUCUACGUGUGAUCGACAAUUCACCAGAAGAUACUUUCUUUUGUCCUGAUGUUGUUGCCAGAGCAAUCUGGCUUUGUAAUUAUCCAAUCUUUUGAUAACUCCUCUAGUUUGCUUUGACGAAAGACUGACAUGUGCAAAGAAACACUACUUAUACUGUUAUACAUGCCUCCAAUAGAUUAAAAAAAACUUUUACAGCCUUCCAACUUCUUUUCAACUCUUUCCUCUUUAGGUUCCCAAUGAGAAUUGCUCAGUCUUUUAACGUCCACUGGAAUUCCCUCAUAAGUUAAGGGGAGACUACCCAUGUUAAAAUCGAAAAUUUUACUAGAACAAACACUUCUUUGAGCAAAAUCUCUUACACGGUACAACUCGCUCUUAUGAAAGUUAACUUUCUGACCAUGAACUAGCUCAAAAGCACAUAAAACGAAUUUUAAGUUUUUGUCGUGGACCAGAUCAUCCUUAAAUUGACAAGCCCCCCCCCCCCCCCCUUCUGCUUAAAAAGGGAUAAAAAAAGGGAAACAUGAGUUGUUGAACUGCCAUUCGAGUCCAUGGUUUUUUUUUUCUUUUCUUUUUUCUAGAAUACACCCAAGCAGGUGUAUCAUAUAUUGAAGGAGGAUUCCGCGACGCAUUUACAUGCCCGUAGGCGCCAGUAAAGCGACCAUUCUAUUACAUUCCACAAGGGAUCCACUAGACUAGAAAGCGAAAAAUCUACACUAUGAAAAAGACCCGCGCUCGACCAUGCCCUUCCUUCACUGUUGAUCAUUUGUUGUAUCUUUCUAGCACUCGGAGUUGCUGCAUCGAACACCACCGAGUUCCUGUGCUUCCAGAGGCACCAGCAGAUGAGAGUAAUGCUAGUGUUGAGGUUCCUCUUCUCUUUCUUGCCUUGCACCACAAGGCUCGUCCACCAUUCGGCAAGAGAGGCUUGCGGAGUAGGGAGCCAGCAAAGCCUGUUCCAGCCCCGCAGCGAGGUCGACCACACUUCCCGAGCCACGACGCAACCAAGAAGAAGAUGGUCAAUGGUCUCAUUGCUUUGAUCACACAAAGGACAGCGUGCCGGGUGGGGCAAACCCCGCUUCGAAAGCCUAUCCGCCGUCCAACAACUAUUUUUUAGAGCCAACCACAUGAAUGUCUUGCACUUAGUUGGCGCCUUGGAGGACCAGACCUCAGUAGCCCCCGCAGCAAGCACACGACCCCGGAAGAAAGCCGCGUACGCAGACGAGGCCGUGUAGGUCCCAUUGUCGCUCCAUUUCCAAUGGAAACGAUCAUCAUCGUAUGAAAGAAUCACCUCAGCCACGCGGUCAUGAACCACCAGAAGAUCCACAAGCGCCUGAAAGCAGAGCUCCGGGUGGAUGGCCCGAAGCCAACCAUUGGCAUGCAAAGCCUCGGCCACAGAAAGCCUGGAUGCCCUACGCAAGAUCUCCGAUAGCAGCGUAGGCGCCAAAUCCGCAAGUGAACGCCCCUCCGGUAGCCAAGGAUCAUACCAAAAAUGUAGAGCUUCACCAUUCCCCCUUGCCACCUCAAUCGCCGCCUCACAAAGUGCCCUGGCCUGUUCCGGGAUUUGGAUGUUGAAUUCAGCCCAUGGACGCGUCGGGUCCACAUGACAUAGCCACCCCCAUCGUGUUCUGAGUGCAAGAUUGAGAAGCUUCAGAUUAGGGAUGCCUAAACCACCAAUCUUGCGAGGGGAACUGCCUUUCCACAAGAACACACGACAUAUCUUCUCUAUGCCCGCAAUGGUCUUCAUAGGAAGGUUGAGAGACAUCAUGACAUAGACCGGCGUAGCUGAGAGGGUCGAUCUAACAAGGGUGAGCCAUCCCCCAAGAGUAAGCAUAGGGACGGACCAUGUCUGGAGCUUAUUCGCCACCUUGUCCACCAUAGAUGAAAGUUGAGUUGCCGUUGGCUUCCGAAGCCCGAGAGGUAAGCCCAAUUAGGUACAUGGGAAAGGCCCCACCUCACAACCAAGCGUGCAAGAUCAAUGGUCUUGACAAAGAUAUUUAAAGACUUGUAUUGUGCUACCGAAUUCAUAUUAGCAAACGUGCAAGAUCAAUAUUUGUUUAGUUUUUUUUUGACAACAUAGAUCAAUAUUUGUUUAGACACGAUGAUUGAGCGAGUACAUGCGAUGUAACAGUCGGAAAAGGUUUCACACAAGUUCAUUUGUCAGUGAACAAAUUAUCUGCAUUGCAUUUUUUCAUAACAAUACAUGGACGUCUGUUCCGUUGGGCUCAAAAAGAAUUAAACAAAAAAUAAACGUCGACAGCAGGAUUCGAACCUGCGCAGGCAAAGCCCAACAGAUUUCGAGUCUGUCUCCUUAACCACUCGGACAUAUCGACCCACUUGGUCUUUUAUUCCUCUCAGUAUUUAUAUACAUGACUAUUCUGUUAACAGAUUGAUGAUUUUUUGUCAUUGCUAUAACCAUCUUUUACAAAAUAUUUGAAGCUUGCAGCAGAACAUGUAAACAUUUAUUCCUUUGAGAUGCGGGGUCAUAAUUUCUGCAAAAAAAAAACUCUGUACCCUUUUCGCAAGAAAAGAAGGAGAGCUAUCACCUGAGUACUCCGUAUUUAGCAUUCUUUAAUUUACAUACUAGUGCUCUAGAAAAAAGUUGCAUAUAGCUUCGUUGCCAAAUCAGACGGGCACUCGGGGCUGCAAUUGCAUGAUGGGCAAUUUGCCAUGCAUUAUUUGACGGAGUACCAACACGGAACACCCGGAAGCGUGAGGCAGCAGGUGCAUUCUUCAGUCAUUCAGUCCAGCCUUCCCUUUCGGUUUCUCCGCUGCCCUUGCCUAGCUAGGCUAAGCUUGUUUAGCUCGUAACAUUUCAAUGUUAAGUUUGCUAUCUUCCAAUGAGGAGUCCACUGUAGUAGCAUUAGCAGUUGGGUUGGUAUGGCCAUCUUGGUAGCUUCUUCUAGCCUCGGGACUUUACAAUCGAAUGCAUCAAUGCAAGAACAUAUGCAUUGUGAUGUACUAACAAGGAUCGAUAAGUAGAAUGAAAUCUGUGUCUUGUUCCAUUAAAUGAUGAUUAUAUUUAUACAAGAGGAAGGGACACCAAUACAUGCAUUGGUGUCCCAAGUUUUGGGCAUUCGCAUCCCGACACAGACGGUUACAACAUUGACUGCCUAAUUAACCAUUAAUUAACUAAUAAUUAAUUCUAAUUGAUCAUAAAUAAUUAUUCUCAACACUCUCCCUUGAUCAAUUUGCUCCAUUGAUUUGUAUAUUCUUGAAUCAUCAUGAAAUCUUGUAAUUUCCUCUAAAAACCCUAUGGGAAAAAUAUUGAGGAAAUAAUAAUAAUAUCGAUAUGUUAUGAAAAACUCCCUUUAAAAAUCCAAUGGGAAAAAUAAGGAGAAAAUGGUAUAACAUAUUUUGAAUAUUGUCUCUUGAUAAUUCAUAUUGAAUUAUAUGAACAAUAAAUAUGCCUUGUAUAUUAUCCACAAAAAUCCCGGUGGGGAAAAUAUAAAAUAUGACAUAUAAUCUUAUGUUAAUAUUGUCUCAUUAAAAACCUUUUAUGAGAAACUAGUGAGUAAAACUCAUAAUAGGAAAAGAGUGCAAUAUGAUGUUAUGAACAGGUUAAAUUCAGGUGAAUACUCCCCCUAAUGCUUGCAAAUUUUUAAGUCGUCGCAUACCAAUCCCAUGUACACAUUUUUUAAAUGUGGAGUUGGGUAAGGACUUAGUGAACAAAUCUGCGAGGUUAUCACGUGAUUUGGUUUGCAAGAUAUUUUUCUCCCCAUUUUGUUGUAAUUCAUGAGGAUAGAAUAGUUUAGGUGCAAUAUGUUUAGUUAUAUUGCUUUUUAUAUAACCUGUUUGCAUCUGGGCAACACAAGCAGAAUUAUCCUCAUAGAUAAUUGUUGGUGAUUCAAUCAAACCAAUACCACAUGAUUGUUGUAUAUGGUUAAUCAUUUUGCAUAGCUAUACACUUUCACGAGAUGCUUCGUAUAAAGCUAUUAUUUCUGAAUGAUUUGUGGAUGUAGCCACUAUAGUUUGCUUAGAAGGCUUCCACGAUAUGACUGUCCCACCGUGUAGGAACACGAAACAGGUCUGGGAUCUGGCAUUCUGGGGAUCAGAUAAAUAGCCAGCAUCAGUGUAUCCGAUUAAUUCAGAGUCUUGGUUUUCCUGUUGGAAAUAUAGACAUAGAUCUUUAGUGCCUUGUAGGUAGCGAAAAACUUGCUUGACUCCUACCAAUGACGUUUUGUUGGAGCUGCGCUGUGUCUAGCUAGUAAAUUUACAGCAAAUGCAAUAUCUGGCCGGGUGCAAUUUGCUAGGUACAUUAAUGCUCCAAUGACACUAAGAUAUGGGAAUUCAAAUCCUAAAAUUUCCUCUCCAUCACCUUUUGGUCUGAAUGGAUCUUUCUCUACGUCUAGAGAUCAAACUACCAUAGGUGUUUUGCAUUGAUAGGAUUUGUCCAUGUUAAAUUUCUCUAAGAUUUUCUGGAUAUAUGUAGCUUGGUGAACCAAUAUUCCCGAAGGAAGGUACUCAAAUUGUAAACCUAAGCAGAACUUGGUUUUACCCAAAUCUUUCAUUUUAAAUUCCGUCAUUAGAUAAUUACGAGCUUCAUCUAUAUCCUGUUUGUUGCCAAUGAUGUUUAAAUCAUCAACAUAUACAGAGAUAAUGCAAAAUCCUGUUUUGAAUUUCUUGAUGAAUACACAUAGGCAGUCAUCAUUGUUAGAGUAAUCCUUUUUAAUGAGAAACUCACUUAGUCGGUUGUACCACAUUCUACCCGACUGUUUUAAACCAUAUAAAGAUUUAUUCAACUUUACACAGUACAUGUUGCGUCUUGCGUUAGUAUUCGGAAUUUGGAUCCCAUCGGGAACCUUCAUGUAAAUGUCCGAAUCUAAUGACCCAUAAAGAUAUGCAGUCACGACGUCCAUUAACAGCAUAGAUAGACGAUUUUGAACAGACAAUGAGAUUAAAUAUCGGAAAGUAAUUCCACUCAUAACCGGAGAAUAUGUUUCAUUGAAAUCAAUGCCGGGUCUCUGCGUGAACCCUUGUGCUACUAGUCUCGCUUUGUAUCUCACCACCUCAUUGUUUUCGUUCCUUUUCUGGACAAAAAACCCAUUUGAAUUCCACUGGAAAAACAUUUGGAGGUGUAGGUAUUAUUUCUGUAAAUACCUUUCUUUUAUUGAGCGAGACUAUUUCUGCUUCAAUUGCAUCCUUCCAUUUAGGCCAGUCGGAGCGUUUUUCACACUCAGCUAUGGUCUUUGGAUCAUGAUUAUUUAGAAGGUUGUUUGCAAUCUUAGUAGAGAAAUAAGUGUCGACAAACGUAGUCUUUCUGUUGUAUAUUUCUCCAGUGUCUAAGUAAUUUGUGGAAAUUUCGUUUAUCUUUGGUGACUGUUCGCGAUUUCCCGUUGCGGUCAAGUCUAGGUUUUCCGAUGUCCCAGCAUCAGUAAUUGAGUGCACUAUUGAUCUGAGUUGUGGAUGUUGGUUAUCCACUGGGUGUCUAUUACCCAAUUGAUCUCGGUCAAUUAAAUGUUGACUCACAUUUGUUGUUGUAGAAGGAGGUUCAGAAGGUUUAUUCUUCUGUUUUCUUUGCCGCGGCUCCUUCAUUUGUUCCUUUUGUUGCUUGCUGGAAGCUUGAUCCUUUUUAGUUGUCGUACCUCUCCCCCUCUUCCUUUGAACGGUAGGUGCAGGAGGUUGAGUAGUUUUUAUAGGUACCUCCACUCUUUCGGAUACGUUUUGUGCAUGAUUAUAGGAUUUAGUUACACCUUUGUAAUCAACAAAUGCGUUUGGUAAAUUGUUUGCAAUAUGUUGCAAAUUUAUAAUUUUCUGAACUUGUUGUUCAGUUUCUUGAGUACGUGGAUCUUGAAAGGGCAUUUCUUUCCUAGUUAAUUUUGGUGGUGAUGACAACGUGUGUUGUGGACUAAUCGUGCGUUAAGUAUUUCAGAUUUGAUAUCAAAUGGCGCAAAACGAUUCGAUGCCCUCAAGUUAGAAAACAAAGAGUAGUGGAGUUUUCGCGGCUUUUUCGGUUAUGGAGUCGUAGGAACUCCGUACUAUUAAGAGGGAGUUCACAUGGGAAGGUAAUGGGUGAAU